rnacentral:lncRNA from 1 species
GUCGGUUUUGCGUUUGUUGUUCCUAGUACACAUGUAAAGCAUAUGCUCCUUUUUUUUUGUAACAUAGAUGUCCAUAGAAUACUCGAGCUCGGAAAUGUGUAUCGAUUCUUGGCUGGGUGGAUACCUUCUCUUUAUGGAUUUACAUGACUGGCUUGUCAUUUUGACACGACGGAAGAAAGAUGGAUGAUUUUUGUCCGUUCUACGCUUAUUGUGUACGUGUGGCUUGGUUAACCCUUUUUAAAAGUUUUAUUGCUGUUUGCGAGCUCUACUCCAGCUUCGUGCCAAGGAAUUUUAUUUUUAGCUCACGGCCUGAGACCGAUUUUAGUACCAUUAUAUACCAUAUACGAUUGUAGUAGUUUUAAACGUUGCUCCUAGGUGCAGACAAACAUUUUCUUCGCAUGGAUUUUGUUAUAUUGCUUGCUGAGGACAGACAUUUUCUCCAAGCGUUCGUUAUAUUGCUUGCUGACGACAGAUGCUGCAAAACAUAAGCUGAAGUUAAAUUUCAAUUCAGAAAUUCGAGAUGGAGAAAUAAAAAAUGCACCAGCCGGGAAUCGAACCCGGGUCUGUACCGUGGCAGGGUACUAUUCUACCACUAGACCACUGGUGCUUCGCGUGAGGAUCGAAGGAAAAUAUAAAUUGUUUAAGAAAACUUGUGAUUCAGAUAGUUCUAUAUCCCUGUAUGUUAACCCUUUUUUUCCGAAUGAAUAUGUUAACUUUUUUAGAAGAAUAUAUCUUGUGUGUAUUAAAACUAGGAACGAUCGGAUUCUUCUUCCUUGAUUUUUCUUUUUGAGGAACCUUCUUCCUGGAUUGACAACUCUUGAAGUCUUGACCCAGAUUUCUUAUUAUCCUCCAUCGCUUCUUGAUUACCAGAUUAUAAAAACAGAAUGAAUGGAGCUUCUGCACAAGCCAGUUAAGCUAAAAUUGGAGCCAGCUCCUAAUCCUUGGAGUGCGCGGCAGUGGAUGUGAAUGAGGAGGUGCAUGUGAGACGGACUGGGGAGGCAAGCAAACAGCAAAGCUCCUUUUGUUGGCCAGUUAUGGCCGGCCCGGGCUGGUGUUAGUUAAAAGUCACAUGCGCGAUAAGCAAAGCCGCACGCCACUCUUGUCCCCUCCAGAAAACAUAUAUUGCCGUCUCGGAGGAAACUAUAAACAUCUCAGAAGAGAAUUAUCAGUAGCGCUAAUAGAAAAGGAUGUUUUUUAUUUAUACAUAAAAAGGCCAUGUGAUAUGGUUUGCACCCAUGCCUCUCAUCCAUCGCUACAGCAAAUAGCGUCUUUUGUGAGUUGUCACGUUUGAUUGCUUCACAGACAGGAGUACUCGUACUUCAUAGCCAUUAGGCAGCGGUUGGCUGGCCACUGGAUAAUCACUGGAUAAUUCACGAGGAAACUGUGGUGCUCCAUGUGAAAUUCCUGCGGAUUCAUGGGCUAAGCAAGUUGCUUCUCCUUUUUUAGUUUACAAGGGGAAAGUUGCUUCUCCUUAUCUCGCCUAACUCCCUCCACCCCUAGUGCUUGCACGUGCUUGAUGGUGAAGUCUACCCAACUCACAUGCCCCCUGCUCCCAUGGUGUCUCCAUCAUGUCAUGUGCAAAUCCUACUGUCGCUCGUGUUGAAUUUCACGCACGCUUUCGCAGGUGACGGGACGGCAACCGUUCCUAAACCCUGAACUCUCCGUUUCAGCUCGUCAAAUGGUAAGCAAUUAAGAUCAAUCGAUCAGUCAAAGAAUUCAACGGUAAACCAACCAGAGACUGUGGAUUGCUGUGCGAUCAAAAAAACAGACUCCAUUUCAGGCGAGAUCCUGCUGCAAAAUACAUACAUCAGGGCACAACGACGAUCAACCCAUCCUAUAUACAGUUUUCGAUCCAACCAACGCUAGCGUCGAUCGAUCCAUCAUCACAUUCACAGCUCAUAAACAAUAUAGGUAUAGGGUAGUAAUUAACAAGACUGGAUGGACGCCUGCUGAUUGCUCAAUACUGCUAAUUAACACGCUACUAGCAAAAAAACAGAGACGACGAUGAACAAAACAGCAGGAGCUAAGUAUCAUCAUCCAUCCUCCCCUUCUAAAGUUUACAGCAACACCGGAGUAAUCGUCUUCCUCCUCCUGAAUCUCUCUGGCUAUCUUGCUGUAACAUUGGAGGUGACGACGACUCACGAUCCGGUGGUGGUAACGGUAACAGUAUCGUCCCUAUCUGGCAGGCCGGACACAGGUGCGCCGAGCAAGCCCCGAUUACCUGCCCAUGGCGGUGCCGGGCUCGGCGAGGCGGCUGUAGAGGGCGGCGUUGAGCUGCUCCUGCGAGUACACGCGGCUGGCCAUCUUGACGGCGACCUGCUGGAUCAUGAGGUCCUUGACGACGGAGACGCUGGCGUGGUAGACGUCGAGGUCCAGCUCGCGCAGCGCCGUCAUGAGCCGCGCCGACGGGUGGUUGCGCUUGUGGCACUGCACGCGGAUCAUGGCCUCCAGCCCCAGGAUCUUGGCGUCGAUCUCCACGGCGUGGCACCGCGGCCCGGCGUCGUGGCCGCCGAGCCCGGCGGCGUGCGGGGCCGGCCGCGCGUCGCGCUCCUUCUUGAGCGCCUCGAUCUGGGCGUGCAGCGUGUCCUUGUCGGACUCCAGCGACGUCAGCUUGCCGCGGAGCUCGUUGAUGUAGGAGAUGGCGUCGCCGAGCAGCGACGCCUUGUCCAUCUUGGACACGUUGGGCACCACGGCGCGCAGCGCGUAGAAGCGCUGGUUCAGCUUCUCGCGCCGCUGCCGCUCCGCCUCCACGUGGUUCAGCGGCUCCUCGCGCCCGUUCGCCGGCUUCCGCCCACGCUUGCGCGGCCGCUUCUCCGCCUCCGGCGGCGGCGCCACCACGCGGCUGCUCUCCACCUCGCGCACCGAGGCGUCCAGGUCCGAGUGGUCCGACUCCGACUUGGCCGGCGCGCCGGUCCCCGUCGACGGUCGCGUCGUCGGCGCAGACGAGAAGGAUAGCAUGCCCUCGUUCGCCGUCGCCGCCGGGUGGUAGUUGGUGUUGCUGGCGCGAGAGGUGGCCUCCAUCGAACGCUUGUUGUUGUUGUUCUUCGUGUCGUUCGCCGGGGCGGCCGUCAGGGUCGCCGUGUGCUGCGAGAAGAGGCUCCCGGGCGCGGUGGUGAGGCUGGCUGUGGCGGCGGGGGGCGCUGGCGACGGGUUCCUCCGGCCGUUGCUGUCGGCGCCGAAGCUGAGGAUCUCCCCGGACUCGGGCUUGAAGAACGGCGGGGCCGCUGCCAUGGAGGGAUUGGACGCGAACUCGGAGAAAUUGAGCUCCCGGCGGAAGGGGCCCUGGUGAGCCUGGUUGUGCUGGUGCUGCCGCUGAGGGGGCGCGGCAGCCGGCGCCGGCGGGGGAGGGGGCGCGUGCACGGAGGGGCUCGGGUUCUCCGUGAGGGUGCUCGAGCUACCGUUCUCGAAGUGGAUCUGCGGCGGCGGGGGCGGCUUGGAGACAGAGAUCUCGGCCGACGGGUGCGACAGGGAUUCCUUGAUGUCCAUGACCGGCGCGUCGGCGAGCCAGAGCACGGAGGGGUCCGUCUCCGCCUGGUCCGCUCCGGCCGCGGGCUGCUGCGGCGGCGGCGCCGGAGGCUGCACGGGCGGCCACGAGCCGCCCCCCGUUCCGCCUCCGCCCCCAAAGAGCGAGCGGAUCUUAGCCAUGCUCUCGGCGGUCUGGAAGACGACGUCGGUGGAGCCGAGCUCGAGCACCCCCGUGCCGACGGGGACGCAGACCAUGGUGCGGAGGCCGAAGUUGUAGGCCUGGCGCGCGCGCUCGCACGGCGCGGAGGAGAGGCCGGAGGCGAUCCAGGUGGGCUGCCCGGCGAAGAGCGCCUGCCCGGGGAGGCCCGAGCCGUUGAGGAACGACUGCGUCAUGGAGACGAGGAAGAACCACUCGGUGUCGGUGACCUCCUCCUCGACGGCCUCGUCGGGGGCCGCGGCGGCGCCGGAGAUGAGUGAAUUGAGCUCGCGGAGCACGCGCUUGCGGUGCUCCUGCUCGGCCUGGGCGGCGGGGGUGAGCGGCUUCUGCUUGCGCUUGUCCUCGUCGCAGCCCUUGUAGUAGCCGUCCCCCCAGCCGAGCAGCGAGGCGCCGGUGGCGGCGUCGACGGAGGACUGCCAGAAGAUGGCGUAGGUCCAGGUCUCCCUGGAGCCCUCAAUCAUGGCCUGCAGGCGCUGCUGCAGCGUGUCCUGGUUGAACCCCGGCGCCAUCGCCGCCGGCAUCUGCGGCGGCGGCGGCGUGGCGGCGGCCGACGAGGCGCCGCCCCCUGCCGGCGCACCCCAAGGGAAGGCGGGGAGGUCGGCGGAGGCCAUGAAGGCCUCCAUCAUGGAGGCGUUGUCGUCCGUCCACAGGUUCAUGGGCAGCCAAGCCGAGCCGAGGAGGAGGAGGGCGGGGUGGAGACGGAAGAGGAGGCGAGGAGGAGGAGAAAAAUGGUGGGUGGAGAAUGGAGGGCGAGGGGAAAGCGAAAGAAAUGGUUUAGAACGCGGAAUCCAUGGGAUUAGGCACAAACCCUAAAAUACCCGCGCCACGGGUGGGCGCUUGUCCCGCUUGUCGUUCGCUUGCCGAGGGCAAAUCCGGAAACAUGUCUUCACCGGUGGGGGCAGGGGCCUGCGCGGCGCCAAAUAGUAAAACGGGUUAUUCGUCGGGGUCGAUUUAGGAGGGUGAACCUAAAAAUUCAGGGGCGUGCGUUUGUGUAACCGCCGGGUUUGUAGCCCUCCUUGCGAAGUGGGCCCGCCUUGUCAGCGGGUGCUUAUGGUCCCAUAGCCCACAGGACACUCCUUUUGCAUGGUUCUUGGUUUGCGGUGGGACCCACCUGUCAAUGACGGCUGGUUUUGUUUACAUGGCUAUUUUCGAUUUUGAGCAUACUAUUUAGAGGGGGUGGGCUCUUUUACAUGUGAGAAUGAUGUGGAUCGCCCGGUAUGGAUGGCAGCGGAGUGAGGCAUGGGGGCAUGCGUAUUGGCUGGAUCUCGUUGAUAACUUUCCGCAUAAGAUAAUGCUAGCUGGAAGACACAAUACCGAUAUCCUUGAAAAGCUGGCGUUUUAUUGCUUGUGAUAAUACUAGAUUUUGCAUAGAUGACUGGCUGUUUUUCAAGCUACAUAGAAUUUUUUUUUAGGAUCUUGGUAUUAAAGUGACCAAGUAAUUAUAUAUGGGAAUACGGUGGCUCACCAACCAUAUAUCGAUGGGAGCAAAGAAGGGGUCGAGCAUGCAUAUCGGCUAGAUCACACGCCAGCUUUCGCAUAAAAGAAUAUUGAGUUGUGACGAUAUGGUAGAUCUUGUUCUUGUUCUUCUUAGAGGUUAUGAAUGAAUGUGCGAAAAUACUUUGACACAUAAAAAGCACAUGCUGUUAAAGGUGUUUUCAAGGUGUCACCAGCUCAUUGUCACUAAUCAUUUCACCAAACGUAUUACAUGUAUAGAUGGGAGCAAAGAAGGGGUGAGUAUACAUAUUGGCUGGAUCACAUUCCAGCUUUUCGCUUAAAAGAAUAUUGACUUGUGACGAUAUGGUAGAUCUUGUUCUUGUUAUUCUUAGAGGCAAUGAAUGAAUGGGAGAAAAUGCUUUGAUACAUAAGAAGCACAUGUUGCUAAAAGGUUUUUCAAGGUGUCAUAGACUCAUUGUCACUAUACAUUUCACCAAAGCUAUUGAAUCACUAUUCUACGGAUUUCAAUAGUGAAAAAAGCCAUCUAAGCUGGUGCUCAUACCAUUUAAGAUCUAUUUUAACCAUUGCUUUUGUUUCCUGUUGGCAUAUAUGUUUGAAAUGUGAUAUCAAGAGGGGCUAGCUAGGCACUUUUCACAUGAAAAUGUACCGGAGCGCCAAAUUUUGAUGUGGGAAUGAGGAGGUGGAGGACAUAGGACAUGCGUAUGUGGCGGAUCACAUGCAUUGUAAAUUUUCCACAUGCAAAAAAAUGAGUAGCACUCAUUUUGUUAUAGUGAGAGAGACUAACUUUGUGCAAAGAGAAUAUGCUUCUUCUUUUUUUUACGAAUCACACGGUAGAAAGCCAUGACCGAAUCCAGAAGAUACGUAGGAUUAUGUCCGAAAAGAUUUGCAAAGAAAAAAGUGUUUGCAAAGGAUUUGCAUCGUUGAUUGUGGGAUUAGUACCACGAUAUGCAUGCUUUCCACAUACUCCUAAGUCAAUUGCACACCGAUUUCUCCUUUAUGGGCCUAGGAGUACCACAACUGGUACGAUGAAGAAGAAGAGACCCAUCACCUAAUACCAGUACUUUGUGAGAGCUGCAUUUUUUAAGGGCAGGUAGCUCCUCUGUUGCAUGAGAAUUGGGAUCAUGACCCAAACCCUUUCUCCUUAGCCUGAUCUGAAUAUUUCUCUUGAUUUUUAGGAUGCAACAAAUUUGUUAUUCGUAGAUAAUUGCCAAUAUGUAUUUUAUGAACACAGAACACAUUUGUUUUUAUUAAACAAAAAAUAUCGCUUAUAUUCCAUGCCUCGAAUGGAGUACAAGCUUUUUUUAAGAUCACUCACGUGCGCAAGCCACAUGUAGGAGGGUGAGCCCGUGAGUGAGCUUGAGAUCGAUGCGGCUGCCCGAGCCGAGCCACGGGCUCGAGACCUCGAGCUCCACUGCCGAGUCCGAGUGAGUGAGAGAGAGGCAGCCAGCCAGCUUUGUUUGACCGUUGACUAGACCCAUGGGUCCAUUUCGCCAUUGCGGUGGAGCGAGAGAGCGAGCUGGCCCACGUGCAGCGAGACCGCGGGGGUAGGAGAAAAGUCCUCGGUCGGCGGGCCCACGCAGCAGGCAGGCGACGGGACGGGAGGGGGAGGGGAAAGCGACCCGCCCGCGAUCUUAUCGUUUAAAACCUGGCACAAAAUCUUGGCCGUCCGUUCGCGCCCUCACGUGUUUAGCGAGCCCGGCAUCGUGCGGCUCGUGCUUUGCUUGGUUUUAGCAGCAUAGUUUAUACCGGGGCGAAGCAGAUGCGCGUGCUGCUAUAUUAACGCGGGUUAGUGUGUGAUGAUUCGGCGGUCUGGAGGUUUAGUGUUGAUAAUAAACAGGCGGGCCAGUUGUGCAAGGCAGGUGGCCGCCAGGUCGCUGUCGCGGCCCAGGAUUACUCUAAUCCACUCGCGCAACUUGACAACCGGAUGCGCCACUACGCAUUCACGCACUUUUGGAUUCCGCAAGCAAAUGCUACGCUCACCCCACCACUGGCUCGAAGAAAUAACCAUGUAGAAAGAUUGCAGCAAAAGUACUCAUGAGAAAAGCUUCUAAGGCCCUAGAUUAAGCGAAAAAAAAAAUAUGUGUAUGUUUUCAUAGGCCAUUUCGAUAGUAGACAAAGAAUAAAGGCAUAAGUGCAACGGGCGCAAGUGCACACACAGGCACACACCAUUCUCUUGACAUAAAAUGGUACAAAAAGCAUAAGCGGCUGUUUUCAUGUUGGUGUUUUCAGCCUUGGUAGCUGAUGUCGUCGCUCCAGAACAUACUCUAACACAUAUCGAGUAGUGGAAUAUGAGGAAGGCCAUGCAAAUUAUAUCAUGUAAAUUUCUUAAAAAUCAAGGCUAAAUGAAAUGAUUUAAAUAAAUUUAGUGCAAACCAAAUGAACUGCAGUGGAAAACUUUUGAACAUAUGGGGGCGCAUGGCCCCUGCUAGGCUCCAUCCCUACAUGCAACUGAGGUUUAGAUGGCCACAUAAUACAAUCUUAUCUGACUUUUGGCAAUUAUUUAUUUGGAAAAAAAACUCCAAGCAAUCAAAUCUACAGGAGUGAGCAGUAAGACCAUCGACACUUAGCUCUUUUUUUAUGAAAGUGACAAGGGAGAUGUGGGUCCACACCGAAGGAACUACCAUUGAUUCGAAUGAGGGAGCAUAUAAUGUUACGAUGGCCGUUGGUUUAAAAUAGUAGAAGGUGGGAGACCACGAUUCAAAACGCACGGUAUCCAGUUUGUUGUAACGAAAUAUAGAAUGUUUUAAAAGCAUUUUAUUCGUGCUUGCAUUAAGACAAAACAUGUGGAUUGCCAUGCUGCAUAGCAAUGGUGUCCAUGUAAAGACUAUGUAUGUAUAAUGAUCAUAUUAACACCAUCCGCGCUAUGGGCAACGACUCGUUGAGGAUUGAGGAGACACAUGCCAUUUUUUUCGUAAGCGACAAGGGAAUUGUGGGUCCACAUCGAAGGAUUUACCAUCGAUUCUUAUCAGCAAGUUCUAGAGGAUGCACGGUAUAUUACUUGAAACAACGGAAGGCGGGGAAGUGAGAUUUUAAUCAUUGCUAAUUCAGAUUAAAUGUAAUGGAAUGUAGAAUGUUCUAAAUUAGUUUUGUUUGCUUUUGGCAUUAAGUGUUCACUCUUAAAAAAAGUCCUCAUGAAUUUAUAAUGUUUUUGUUAGUCGCGUAAGCCGUGGAUCAUGGAAGAAGAAAAAAACAAGAUGGCAGCGUCGCGUGUACGCGUAGCGGAAGGAGAUAUCAUAAUCUAGUAACCGCGUCCAUCUGCACGACUGAGGGGCGCGCGGAAGCUUCACGGCACUGGGGUGGGGGUGGAGUGAGCACGUUUUGCUCGCGUGGUGGGCCGCCCGCCCCGUCCGAAUGCAAUGUUUUUCACCGGUUGUCGUCACGUGGUGGCGGGGCCUGCAAGCAUGUGAUGUGAAUGAGGGGCAGCACGCGUUCCUCCUGCUUUCCCAUUUCCCUUUCUUUACGCCGCACCUGGAUUGGUUCGUUGCAGGAGCUUUUUUUAUUCUAAUUAUUAUUAUCUGUCGCCAUUGUUUUAUCUGGGCUCACAUAUUUACGUACAAGCCCUGCAACUCCUUCACUUUUAUUUUUCACAACCCGGCUUGCUUAAUUAGAUACUGGAGCUUUAACUCUAGUGAACAAUAGGUUAGGCGAGCCAUCGAUCUCGCAGCAGAUAAACACGACUUCCAAGUUCUGAAAUUUGAAAUAGUGCAAUAUAGAAAAAUUAAAAUGAUUUAUAAUUUGAAAUGAAAAAAAGUAGCUCUGAAUCGUGUAAGGGAAGGUAUGGAACCAGAUUGGAUUGGUCUCCUCUGCUCCUCCGACCCGCUUGUCUAUUGCUCCCUUAGCUAGCUUCUUCAAGCUCCAGCCCCGGCAGGUUGGCCCAUCCCUGUCCUUAAUUACUCCAUUUCAUUUGCCGACAUGUACCGUGCACCUCAAAAUGUAUAUGCAGUUUUGCCAUGAGAAAAUUGGGGGCUGCAUUGUACUAGGGCAGAAGGGGUCCAGGGAAAUUAGAGCGGAGUUGAGGGACGUGUCUGCAAAAGGAGGAGAAUGGUCCGGUCGCAAGUGGCCCAGCAGGCUGAUGAUUGGUUGGAUUUUUCCUUUGUUUCCUUGUUGCUGAAUUGAGCCGGAGUAGUAACAAGGGACGUUGAAUGGAUGAGUGAAUGAGCUAGAGCUGUGACGUUUUGUUGCCUUGUUCUUGGAGGCUGGAGCCUCUGCCAGUGCCGCCGUGCCCCGUAGAUACUUACAAGAUACACAGCACCCGCCCGAAAAGGACGCGAGCGAUGGAAGCAUGGACGCCUCGCCGUCGAGCGUCGAGUCGAGAACCGGCCGGAGGAGAUGGACCGACGCCGACGGGGAGGAUAAAACAGAUGGAUGAGGUGACGGUGCCCGGACUAUCGGAGCGGCGGAGGAGAUGGAAUGGAACUACCACGAUGGAAGAAGGUGAGGCAGUGAGGCCCCAUGCCUCGCAUUGGCAUUGGCAUGGCGUCCAUCCGCGCAUGUGAUACACGUACGGACUGACACUGCCCUGGAUCGCAACAACCACCACACGAAUGACACACCUACCUCGCUCGCCAUUCGCCUGUUCCGCAGGCCUCGCACGUGCUACCAAUGUUCGCUCACAGCGUGCCAACAGUGGGUCCAUUCAUUCAGGUGCUGGAUGAAUGGAUCACUUAGUAGCACGCCGACAGCGCCUGCUGAUAACAGUAUGGUAGUAAGUUGGUAAUGGUAACCACGGGUUUAACUCUCAGACUGUAAUCAACCGACCAGAUCGACUAUUGCUGAUGCUGUUUGCUCCCAUCUCUUCUUCUCCACCGAUCCAUCAACAAAUCAGCAUUUUUCACUUGAUUAUAUCUUGUUGACAAAGCAGUCAGCACCACGCGUUCAUUACCCCUGCUUAAAGUAUCUUUGAUGAUAAAGUAGGUUAUAAACAAAAUAAAUGAUAGUUACAUAUUUUUUUGAAUAUGAAGAAUGGUUAAAAUCACGAUCAAAAGUUAAUAAUGAUAAAUAUUUCAAUACAGAGGUAGUAGCAAACUGCAACUAGAGCAUACUUGUAUCUAUAAACCAUAUGACUCUCGGGUGCAUUUUCUUCUUCGCUAUUUACAUUCCUGUUGAAAUAUGGAAAAAGAAGGGAAAGAGACAGCAACAAAUUAACUGACGAUCGAUCUAGCAAUUCAUUUACGACCUCUCCUAUAUGGUUCAACUUGUCUAAACACCAGUAUAUAUAAACGCUUUGAUGAUCGAUGGUUGCCUUGUUGUCCUGAUGCUCGUCACAAAGCAACAACCUUUCAUAGAGAUGUUUCAACUCCUUCGAUGAGGCGUGCUAAAUAUCAGGUAGUGGUUUUACUAAGGUGCUAACCUUGGCUGAUACUUCAUAUAAGUAGAUUUCAGACAUCAUUAAUUCUUCCCGAGAUAAUAUUUUUCUACAAGGAGUGGUGAUUCUACGUGAACUGAGGGUCAGAAAACAAUAUGGGGCAAUACCCAAACUGUACUUUGAAAAACAACAUAUGACAAAGUCAAAUAAUGUAGUUUCUUAGGCCACUCUCAGUGGGAGUUUCGUAAAGAGUUUCAUCAGCAUUAAUUUUUAUGCCACAUCAGUAAUUUUGCUGACUUAGCAAGAUCUUUAUGAAGAAAGAGAGAAUGGUGUUUCAUGAAAUGAGAGAUGAGUUUUAUCCCCAUGAAACCCAGCAUGCAUAGUUACCAAGUUUGCAGUUACCCCCUCUGUCCCAGAAUAUAGCUACGUUUAGAUUUUUUCAAAGUCAAACUUUUCAAUUUUGACCAUGAAUAACGAAAUAAUCAAAAAGAUUAAUAAUAUAAUAAUGAUGUUAGUAGAUCUAUCAUGAAACAAACUAUCAUAAUAUGUAAUAUUUUUCAUUGAAAGUAAAUUAUUUUUAGAGAUAUUCUUGGUCAAAGCUAAAAAGGUUUGACUUUGGAAAAACCUAAACGUAGCUAAAUUUUGGGAGGGAGGGAGUAGAUAACAGCGCAAUGAAACUGUGCAUUGAGACUGGCCUUCCAUUGAUGUGCAUUGAGACCGGCCUUCCAUUGACAUCAGGGAGUGUGGAUUAAAACAAAUUAAAGGGUACUGGAGUGGGAUUAAACAUUAAUGAUUACUAGUACUCGGCCACAUUGUAAAAGCAAUCACCCCACUGGGCUCCACCAAUUUGACCCUUUCUUGGCAAUGCGGAGCCAAUGUAGUCAUUAAGAAAAUUAGAUACUUUAAGAAAUGCAAUCUUGACAAUUUUUGGGUCUUCCACCAAAAUAAUCUCCGAUAAAAGAUUAGUGUGAUCACACGGGAUUCGCUAUGUGCAAAUGUUCUUUACUAUGGCAUGAUGAACAAGCAUAUGGUUGACUUAGCUUAGCAUGUAGUGGUCUAGUUUCUCUUUUUCUCGAUGUACGGUUCCGUUUCCAUAUUGUAGAAACGCGUGAAAUCGAGUAAACACAUAUUUAGAAGACUAUUUGGAAUCUGUCGUUAGCAUGUGUGUUUAAUUUGUAGCUUGUCAUAAACAUCAUCAUAUCAUAUAUGUAAAAAGGGAAAACACUUAACUAUUUUGUUCCGUUUUGUUUCUAAUCAACAACUUAGUCAAGAUGUACACGCGCAUAAGGUCGUGUUUACAGUACUCCCUCCGUUCAAAAUUACUAUUUGUUUUGACUUUUUUAAUGUAUAAUUUUUGCUAUGAAUCUAGAUACAUACUAUAUCUAGGUGUACAACAAAGGCUAUGUAAAAAAAGCUAAAAUGAAUAGUAAUUUGGGACGGAAGGAGUAUGGGCUUGUUCGCUUCAGCUUAUUCAGCCGGCUUAUCAGCCACCAAACAGUAUUUUUUCUCUCACAAUAAAUCAGCCGUUUCAACUUUUCAGCCGGCUUAUAAGCUGAAGUGAACAGGCUAUUAAAAGAAAACGACAAGCAAUGCAAGCCGGCAGCUAAUUAUUAAUUGCACGGCGGCGUGGCUCAAGGAUCGCGCACGUUUACCUCGUGUUCAAUUUCUUCUGUUCAUCGAGCGAUCGAUCGACUGCUACGUACAACGUACGGGAUUCAUGCACCUCCAGGUUCCAUCCACAUCCCCGUCACAUCAGCUGAGGGACAAGCGGCGCUAGCUGGAUUAGUGGAGUGGAAUGCGAGUGGUGGAACCACUGCGGGGCCAUCGCAUUCGCAUCUAGGCAUCUACCUACCAUUCUAAAGCAGCUGCCUCCCUGCUUAUUAUACUAACAGCCGUUGCUAGCUAGUUUCAGUGAUCAGCAAUUAUCACGUGCUUAACUAAGCCCUUCGUCUUACUAUUGUCUAGUGUUACACUACAUAUGUAGCUCAUGCUUUGAUGCUUGCAUGAUUCUUUGCUCCUUAUUACUUUUUCCCCUGUUUUUUCUGUUUCCAUGCGUUCCCUCUUUCAUACGAUCUCCCUUUUGUCAAGUUUAAUUGUCAAAACAAAGCAUCAGCUAGCAUUCACCAGUCACUUUGAUGCUUGCAGGGGUACUGCAAUGCAUGCACAUGCACGAACCAAAGCGCUCCCUUGUCCGAUCAGACAUAUGUUAGGUAUAGUUGACUGACGUGCAAGUGUGGAGUGUCUGCUAAGUGUAUAACGUUGGAAUAAAGUAAGCUGCCGCCCAAUACCAUAAGGGGGUCUGGGAUGAGCCUGAUCCUCUACGUAACUGCAGAGGAACUCGUCCCACUGACGUGUGGAUCCGACUACUUAGCAGCGAGUUAUUUUGCAGUAUUGCAGGGGAAUCGUUUCCGAGAACCUUCUGCCUACUCCCUCUAUCAGAAUUAUACGUUUCUGGCUAUGUAUCCGGACAACACCUUUUUUUUUUUAUGGAAGGAGUAGCUUGUACCGGAUGACACAAUAUAUAUAUAUACUAUACAUAGGAGUAUGCAUACAUAAUAGAUAGACUGAAUAUACAAGAAGAUGGGGGGAGCUAGCUACACGGCGCCGAACAAGCAUUCAACUGUUUUGGAGGGGAUUCCUACCUUACCUUAUAUUGCUGGGUAGUGUUACAGGUUGAUUGGUUAAAAAAUACUAGUUGGAUUCAACUAGACGAGUUCUACUCUUAUUGCUACGAGUACUUUUCCUAAUCCUCGACUAGUUCCUGUCUUGCCACGUAGACUACAUCGUCCUGCGUCAUAGUCUCCAUGUCAGAUACGUCUCGGUGUCUAGCCCCAUAUUCAGGACUAUCCAAUCCUUGUGGUGGGCCCAUAGAUGUGUGCACGACAAGCUCCCGAGUAUUUUUUUAGGUCAAAUGUAGCAGUUCCGAGUACUUUUGUAGACCUCACUGACUAGUUCUGCUCCAUCGGGUUGAGUCUUCAAAGGUACCCGAGCACUACCAUGCGGCUAGAAUGUGCUCAAGCCUCAUUUAUCUUUAGUCUUGUAUCCUUCAACCUUAAAUUCUAUAUGGAAGUGCAACGAAAGCCGCACUCCAUAUGGAAUAGCCCCCGAGCCUUAGUUUGAAUUGAAGAAUCAGGCUGAGGGUCAAUCUGUAAUUUGCAUCACUUUCCCAGUACACGAGUUCCACCAGUUCAGUCAACUGUCUAGUAUAUUUGUUCUGAGGCAUCGCAUGGGUAAUAAGAUCAAUAGACGCGACAGUAGCCAGAGGAGUAUGAUGGUGACGCAUUUGAACUGCUUCAAAGGCGUUAUCCAGGUUUUGGAUUGGUAAGUCUGCUGCAAGGUAGCGGCGGCGCUCUGUUCUUGCGGCGUUUCUUGCUCGUCGUCGAGUUCUUUGGGCUUUGGUUUCUUCUCCGACAACGUUGGUGGUGAGCUCAUCCUGCGAGACAUUAUUCGGGAGACAUUCAAGUCGCGGGUUUGUGUCCCGUUGCUCUUCUUCUUCGUCCUCUUGUCCAGUAAUGAGAGCGAAGAGUUCUCAUUCCAGGGAGUAGAUUUCUAAGCUUGAAGUGGUGACCUCCGUGGUGCUGCCUUUCUCGUAGAUGGGCGACAGAGGAGUUCCCUUCUGGUACGACAGGGUGUCAAGGUAGGCGAUGAGGCGCGAAUUGUCGUCCUUAGCGAGAGCAGGUGGCUUCAUGUUGGACCAGUAGAUGAAUCUGUCUUGGGAAGUUGAUGUGAUUACCAGGCCUUGUUGUGGACAUGAUAAAGGAGUCUUCUCGUCCGGAUCCGAGUAGUAGUCGAGGUCCUCGAUUGCAUCCGUAUCGAAUUGUGAUCUGGAUAGGGCUGCCUGAUAAACAGUGGUCGCGUUGCAGAGUUCGAAUGGGAAUCGACUCUGGUGGUAAUUCGACUCGCACGAUAGUUUAUGCGUCGGCUCGUGCAAGUCAAUCUGACCAGCAGAAGAAGUCGAGUUGUACUCGGACUUGUCCCUCUAGCCUUUAACUAGGUCAGAAAUUGAAAAUUCGCCAAAAUUCUCGACAAGAUCUUCCAGAGUUUGGCGCUGGAGCUUCAUGGUUUGCUGCUUCUUCUCUGGGGCCAGCGCAAUGUGGCGGUGAAAAUUUCCAACGCCACUUGCCAUGGAAACCCAGGAGCCGAAGACGAACGUCACACCUUGCUUCAAAUGCAAUGAUUGGCUUGAUGAUGACUUGUGCCAUCGAGUUCGCCAAUGGAUUCCGACGAGUUCUCCUACCUGGCGCGCCAGCUGUUGGUGUUUAGACCCAGCAACCUACCGAGGGGGUGCUCAAGAUAGUGUUUUGGUUAGUGAGGCUCAUCGAGAUCAGGAACUCGAAGGUAAACACAAAUACACGAUUUAAAUAGGUUCGGACCGCUAGAUUGCGUAAUACCCUACGUCCCGUGUGUUGGUUGGAUUGAAUUGUUUUGGAGGGGAUCCUGCCUCGCCUUAUAUAGUUGGGGGCAGGGCUACAGGCCGGUUGGUGAGUUUUACUCUUAUUACAAUAAGUAAUUUCCUAAUCCUCGACUAAUUCCUAUCUUUUCAUGUAGACUAUGCCGUCCUGCGCCAUGAUCUUCGUGUCAGAUGUGUCCCGGUGUCCAGCCCUAUAUUUAGGACUGUCCAAACCUUCUGGUGGACCCAUAGAUGUAUGUACGACAAAUACAUCCUUGUCUAUUGACUUGUACAUAUGAGUUUAUAUUUGCUCUUUCAAUUUAUAAUAUGAUUUCAUAUAAAAAGUCAAUGAAUAAUAAUUAUAGAUUAACAUAUUUAUUUGUGAUUUUAUAUGAAAAAUGAAAAAUAAUAUAUGAAUGUAUAGAUUAUCCCAUACCAUUAUUUUCAACGCAUCAUUUUCUUCCUUGUUAAUUAAUCUGCCUCUGUUCUUUUUCUUUUUAACGCAUACGAAGUGCAAGCAUUUCUUUCCUUGCCACAAGUUCCAAACUUAUCCGUCCGCCCUUUUCUUUCCCAUCUCUUCCGUCUCGCCAUCCAUCUCCUGAUCUCUUUUCUCUCCCUCGCCGCAUAUCGCUUCAUCCGGACCUGCUGCACUACUCCAGUAUCAUGCGCUGCUCUAACCUCGUACCCAGUUCCCUCGCUAUCUCGCUCUAACCUCGCCACACCGCAUAUCCACCAGGCCUGCCUUGCCGUCUCACUUCGGCCCUGCCGCACCACUCCGUCUCCGCCGUGGCGGUCCCGCCCCAUCUCCACCAUGCCGGUGUCUGGCUGUGCGCACCGGCUCCGGCGCCGCCCUUCGCCACCGCGUGCUCUCCUCUGUUGGUGCCUGGCCGGCGGCCCCUUCUUCUGUUGUGCCGUGUCGAGCUGUGUCGGUUGGGAGGCUGGGUGGCAUUUUUGUGUGAAAAUUAAGCUAAUUUCAGGGAUAUUUUGGUACAAUCAAUGCGACAGGGAGGGGAGGAGCGGUGGGGAGCCACAUUUUCGGCUCCGCAUGCAGUUCAUUUUCUGGGGUGGCUUCGCUUGGCUUCAGCCCUGGAGCACUUUUCUACUGCGUAGCAGCAGAAACAGCUGGCAGGACGCGUAACAUGCGGUGGGCGGCGCAUCGCGCAUGGUGUCGUCGCAACGCAGAGCUGCUGCUUCUUUUUUUUUUUUCCUCAUCGGACGAAUGGUUUGGUCCUGCCACCGGCGGUCUGCAGGUGGCUUGUCGCCUGCAGUUGCAGCGGCUACGCGCGACAGCAAAUAAAAGUCCCGAAAGCAAGUCGCCGGCCUAGCUAAUCCAGCAAACUGAGCUAUAUUAUUAGAAUUUCUUUUGAAAGGAUACGAGACGCAAUACUGCUCUCUUGCCCUUGGAAGCAACUACUGGAAGCAACUAAUUAGACGCACUUGGUCUCGUGGAUCUUAUGAUCUGUUUAGACGUGCUAUUGCUAAAGUUUAGCAAGUGCUAAAAUUAGCACUUCCACCUAUUAACACUUCUGUUUGAAGACGUGACUAAUAGAUAGAGUUAAAGUUCAUUAAAUGUCAAUUUUGCCUCUUUAUCUCCUCACCUCCCCUUUCUCUCUCUCCUUUUUAUCUUUUCACAAGCCAUUAGCACCCAUUAGCUCCUCCCCACUGGCUAAUCUUUUCACUUUUUGGAGAGAGCAACCCUCCCGUUUCGAUGGGCUAAUGCAUAAAAAGUGCUAAACUUUAACACUUUCACUCAUUAGCACUUGGAUCCAAACGUACCUUUAAUUCUCUAGUUUCCCUAAUCCAGCACACAACUAUGGGCUCGGCCCAGUUUUUAACUCAGAGGUUGCCUAGCCAGACCCAACAAUAUUCUUGAUAAAGAUUGGGAAACAAGACACACUCACACACCACUACACCAGCUGACCAGCACCACUCUUAAAAAAAGAGAGGAUGAAAUUCAUUUUUGACCUUUCAACUAUCGCAUGAGUUUGAUUUGACCAUUCAAUUCUAGAAUCGGGUAAUUCUUGACCCUCCAACUGCCAACACCGUUCAUGUUUGACAACCUACCUACUUUAAGUUUCGUUGAUGUGGAUGACACUUGGCAUUGGAGCGCACAUGUAAGCUCAUUCUUCUCUCUUCUAUCCUCUUUUUCUUUCUUCUCUCUCCUCCUUUCCUCUCUCCAGCCCCCUCGGUACGACCACGCAGCGGCCGUAGCUGCAGCAGCUCGCAGAUGAUGAUAUUAUGCUAUAUUGCUAUACAUUUAUAUAUACACUAUAUCUAGAUAUAUAGUAAAAUGUUGUAAAUCUAAAUUCAAAACGAUCUGAGUAUUAUUUACUGAUCUAAACCUCGUCCUAAAAUAUAUACAUUCCCAUCGGGCAAAACCCUCCGUGUAUCCAUGCAUGCGUCCACCAGCAUGUGACACCAAGAUCAAGUUGCCAUCGCACAACCACUGCUGCUCCUGGUCCAGUGUACAACGGGGACGGACCCCAUUCCAUCAACAACAGCAAGGCUUUAUUGUUUUUCGUCCCUGAGCAUUGUGUGUGUGAGAGAGACCGGGAAGAGUCCAGCGAAUUUGACAGGAAUGAAGAAAUACCGUCACUUUGUCCUAAACGCUCCUAGUUGCUCCGUCGAGUCCCGGGGAGAAACAAACAACCGAACCGACAGAGGCACAGAGCUGGUUGCUGACUCUAUGAUGAGUGGGCAGAGUGGCAGUUGCACAGUUCCCAGUGGGUGCGGUGCUCGGCGCAGCUCACUCCACGCAUGCUAUGGCCCAUCUCUAUCUCUUCUCUUCUCUACAGCUUCUCGUGGUCGCGGAGGAGGAGGACGACCUCGAUCUCCUCCGGACGCCGCCUACGCCACCACGAACACGCCGGUGCCGUCCGCGAGGGAGGACGACCUCGAUGCGGCGACGACAACCAAACAGGUCCCCCCAUCCUCGCAGCAUCGCCCCGCCCUCCGACCCAAGGAUCCUCUACCGCGCUCCCCUAGGCACAAAGCCUCCACGCUCGGCGGAUCUGCCCAGGCGGCGAUUGGGUCUUCCUCGACGCGCGCUGGAUCUUCGUUACCCCAGGCCAGCGCAGUUCCAGGGCAGAGAGCUUGGACAACCAAGCCUCUGAUCGGAUCGACUCCGGCAGGGGAGGAGCAGCGGUGGCGGUGGCGGAAGCACGGGCGGCGUACGAGGACAUGACCUGAGCUCUUGUGUGUCGCUGCUCACCGUCGUCCUCGCCGCUCCCUGCGACGUCGUCGUCAUGCGCACGACAAGCCUCAGAUCGACGAAGAAACAGCCGCCGUCUUGCGCCUAACGCUCACCACCGCGUGGGAAGGAAGCUCUUGGUACGCCGCUGUCAUCUCACUACUCCUGAUUAUUUGCCUACAGGGGAUAAUUUUACACCUUUCUGAUGAUAAUAUCUUUGUUUUUUCAGAAUGUACUGUUACUGUAUUCUAUCAAAAUAUGAGUAUUCCUUUAGUUAUAACAAAUGGAUGCUGCUACCUGCUAUGUUCUUCUUGCAAAAUGAGAAUCAAAGAUUUAUUCAGUCCCACCUGUAGGAACGAGUACAACUUUAGCUAUGCCAAGGAUAUAUGCAAGCUAUAUAUAUAAGUGAAGUUAACUUACAGCCAAAAUGCUAAUUAGCAGUUGCAGAUUCUAGAUUAAUAUUUACAACUUGGUUAGUAUUCGUCAGGGAGGGAAUAUUUGUGACUGAAGCUUCGUACUCUUUUCAAAAUGGCAGCCUGGCCAUCUGCCGCCCCAUCCCUCUCCGUCUGAAGCCCUGUAAUUCUAUCUUCCAGGCCCAUCCAACCAUUUGAGAUAGGUGCUGAGAUUUUGAGUUUCAUAAAACUGGUUAUUUGAGAUAGGUUUCAUGAGUUCCAAUUGAUAUAAACAUCAAAUUCAAAGUUGCAUUGAGGUUUACCAUGAUUGGUAUAUUCGAGUUUUGCAACUGGAUUAAGGGUGCCUUUUGGUUGGGCUUUCCAACCUGCUUUUGCUUUUGCAAAAACCAAAAGCCGAUCAAAGGGUUAAAAGCUCUAUGUGUUUUUGCCCAAAAACUACUUUUGCUCUAGUACAAAAUUAAAAGCACCUUCCCCUGCUUUCAAGUGCUUUUGGGGUAAAAAAUUCCCCACCUGCCGCUGAUUAUGACGGUAACGAUUCGUUUUUUGCCCCGAUCUAUUUCUCUCGACGCGUCCGUCCGCUCCUCCCCACAUACCCUUCCGUCUCUUUGCGCACCGCCAUCGGUGGCCCGUCGUCGCCGGUCGUCGUCCACCACCCUCGGUCGUCGGUCCGCUUCCCGCCGACCCGGCGCCCCCGGCCGCCCGCCACACCCCGUUCCCGGACGGCCACCGCCCGACACCCAUCGACCCCGGCCGCCACCCCCGUCGUCCCCGGUCGCCGGCCGCUGGCCAGCCGUCAGCCGCCCUCGGUCGCCAGUCCGCCUCCCGCCCUCGGUCACCGGUCCACCUCCUGCCGACCCCGGUCGCCAGCCCGUCGCCCCCGGCCGCCCACCACACCCCGCCCCCCGGACGGCCGCCGCACCCCGCCGCCCGUCGCCCCCAGUUGCCGGCCGCUGGCCAGCCGUCCGCUGCUCCCUGCUCAUCCAUCCAUCUGGUAAGCCGCACUCCAUGCUCGACCGAAUCCUGGGCUUCCAUUACUAGUGGAAAAAAAUGCACUGGUGGUAGGAGGGCAAAGAAAAAUCAAGGCCACCUGGAUAAGAGCAUUCGCACCGGUCAUAGCAGUUCUCUAUGCAAUGACAACGGGGAGAAGAAUCAUGCUACCUUGCAGAAAAAAUGUCAUAUUGUAGAAAGAAUUCAUACAGAAUGUUUCAUACUAAAAUUUCAUACCGUUACAUGUGGCUAGGGAUUGGGAUUGGGUCAUACAGAAUUUCAUACUAGAAUUUCAUACAGAAUUCAUACAGAAUAUCUAGGGAUUGAGUCAUGUAGAAUGUUUCAUACUAGAGUUUCAAUUCCUACAAAACUACUUCCUGGGCAUUUCAUACUUUUGGCUAGGGAUUGGGAUUGGGUCAUACAGAAUUUCAUACUAGAAUUUCAUACAGAAUUCAUACAGAAUAUCUAGGGAUUGAGUCAUGUAGAAUGUUUCAUACUAGAGUUUCAAUUCCUACAAAACUACUUCCUGGGCAUUUCAUACUUCCUGUGCAUUUUGUACUGUUACCUGUGGCCGCUCUUCAUUACUCUUCACUGCAUACUCACUACAUGCAGCUACAGCUUUACAGAAUUCUUAUGAUUUAUUUUUGGUUGGCUGAAGAAUGGGUGACAAGGUAGAUUGGGGUGAUGCUUUUUUAAGGCAUUUGAUUGAUGCCUGCAAAGAAGAGAUUGAAGCCGUGAAUAGGCCGUUAGGAAUUUUCACUACUACCGGUGGGAAGAAUGUUGUUUCCAAGUUUGCAGAAAAAUCCGGUGAUAGGAGAAAAAAAAAUAAUUGAAGAACAAGUUAGAUCUUCUGAAAAAGGAGUAUUAUUUAUGGAGUUCAAUAAUUGUGCCACUGGUCUUGGAUGGGAUGAUGCAAAACAAACUAUUGACUGCUCAGAAGAAUGGUGGAAUGAACAUCUUGCUAUAAGAACUAUGUUGCCAUUUUAAAUAUAUUCUUCCUAUUCUUUGUUAUUGGUUGCCUUGCUAUUUUUUUUUAAUUUUAAAGAUGCAACAAUCGUGAGAAAGGAAUCAAAUGCCAACAUGUGAAGUUUCGAAAACAAGGACCCAAGUUCCUUGAUGGCCUCCAUAUCUUGUUUGGCAAAGCAUAUGUCAGUGGAUCUUUUGCAUCCUAUCAUGGAGAUAUAUCCUCCGAUGAGGCAAGUCAUGAGGAUGUGGAUGAGGUACCAAAACCUACACAGAAGGAUAUGACAAUGAACCUAGGAAAAAGAACUUCCAGUGGUGUUGAAGAGAAGGAUGAGAAGAGCCCAUUCUUUCGUUUGUACAAGAACACUUGUUUGAAGAUAGAAAAUGCUGCAGAGAGGAUCUCCACAAGUGUUGAAGCAUCAUCAGCUCCUCCAACCAACCUAGUUCCUACCAUUGCAGAGACUAUGAAGGUGGUGAAAGAAUGUGGGGUACAAGAAGGAACUGCUCUAAUGUAUACAACCGCCUCCCUAAUUGUUAAGCCUGAAUUUAGGGAGCUCUUUAGUUCUCUAGAAACAAUGAAAGAAAGGCUCGAUUUGAUUGAGAGGGAGCUAGAAAAGGAGGCGAUGAAGCGUCACUGAUUUGUUUCCAUAUUUGUCAAAUUAUUUUCUUGUCAUAUGUUACCCUAUGUUGAACCAAAAUAAGUUAUCUUAUGUUGAACCAUAAUUUGCUUGGAGAUGUGAAACAUUAUUUAUCUAUUAUUAUUUGUUUAUGUUGACAUUCUUCAUUUAGUAUUGUCAAGAAAGUUGUUGUAUUUAAUUAUUAAUAUACUAAUGUCUCAUGUAGAUGGAUGAUAGAUUGGGAGAUGUAGCCAAAGGAGGACAAAAAAGACUACUACUGCUAGCUGAACUUGCACAGCAUGCUGGUGCUAUUGGAGAAAUGGGCAACUUGUAUACUGAACGGUAUUUGCAAAAAGCUGAAUAUAGGGAAACGUCAGAAACUGGAAUUCAAUGGGUGAUGAGGUGUAUGUCACGUCCGAGGUAUUUUUAUAAGAUGUUUCAGAUGAGCACUGAGAUUUUUGAGAAACUUCAUGACUUGCUGGUCUCUACCUACGGAUUUACAUCAAGCAAGAAUGUUUCAUCUACUAAGUCAUUGGCAAUAUUCUUGUGGAUCGUCAGAGGACCACAAUCUUUUUCACAAGCUGAAAAUCGUUUCACACGGUCACUUUGGACAGUUCACAUGAAGUUUCACGAAGUGUUGAAGUGUUUGCGUAAGUUAGAUAAGGACAUUAAGCCGAGAGAUCCUACUUUUUCUAUGGAGCAUGAAAGGGUGAGAGAGGACCGUUUUUGGCCAUACUUAAAGACGCAAUUGGAGCAAUAGAUGGUUCACAUGUUAAAGUGGUAGUGCUAGUGGAUGAAGUGGUUAACCACACAUGCCGUCAUGGAUAUACAUCUCAAAAUAUGCUAGCUAUUUGUGACUUUGACAUGAGGUUUACCUUCGCGGUUGCCGGGUGGCCGGGUUCUGCACAUGACACACGUAUCCUCAAUCAUGCAUUGGUAAAUUUUCCUUCAUCUCCCGUGCCUCCUAAAGGUAUAUAUGGUUCCUUCAUCAAGUUAGCAAUACUUGUAUUAUUAUGUAUCUUACUAACUUGGUUUUGUAGGAAAAUAUUAUCUUGUGGACUCGGGUUACCCAAACCGAAUUGGGUAUCUUGCGCCUUUCAAAGGAAGCACGUACCAUAUACCAGAAUUUCAGCAACGUUCAGGGCCUCCUCAAGGAAAGUACGAGAUGUUCAAUUUCUUGCAUUCAUCUCUUCGUAAUGUCAUUAAAAGGUCUUUUGGAGUCUUAAAGCAGAAGUGGCGUAUUUUGAAGGGCAUGCCACGUUUCUCACCUCGUACUCAGAAGCAUAUCAUUAUGGCUUGUCUUGCAUUGCAUAAUUUUAUCCGUGAUAGCAAUUUGUGUGAUAAGGAGUUCAAGAGAUGUGAUGAUGAGGAGGAGUACUUGGUACAACAUACAAGUGGCACGAGACAAACACAAGGAGAUGAGAGUGACGAUGUGGAGAAUGAGGAUACCAUGAAUACCAUUUGUACUAGAAUAGCUGAUGCUUUGGUUAGUGUGAGAGGAGGACAAUAAUGUUGAGGGAUGGCAUUAUUGUAUAAAAGUUUUGAUGGAUAUUGUUCUAUUUAUGUGGACCAAUCACUUUAAUGGAUGAAGAACAUAUAAAAUUUAUUUUUUUUCCUUUCUAAAAUAGUUAUUUACAUGCGAAUUAGUAAACACAUUAUUUUAUUACGAGCAAUUUGCCUAUAAACACACCCACAGACCUUUAAGGGUAUUACAGGUAUUUCUUACACAGCUUACAGUUUCACAGCUCCUCUAACCAAACGGUCUUUUGCUUUUCCCACAACUGCUUUCUCACAGUUGCUUUUCCACAGCUCACAACAGCUUUUUCAAAAGCCACAGCCUAACCAAACGCACCCUAAUAUUUUUCUACCUUUAGAUUUCUCAAUACUGCAUAUAGAAUAUCAUGGUUAUUAGAGGGUUACAUGGUGGUUGUUGAGAUUGAGACAUCAAAAGUAUACCUUUUUAAAUAUGCCAAUAAGUCAAUUAUGGACUACGCAUAUACUGAUGAAAUUGGAAUCAUAGAGGUUGAAAAAAAAUGCUAUCUCCUCCGUGUUAAUUUAACAAGCUCUUGUGUUAACACAAGUAGGAUUAGCUAGAUGUGUGCAAUGGGCUAAUUCCCAGCUGAUCUAUCUAAUUAACUGAAACACUGAUAACCUCCUCUUGCAUUUCAAGUUUAAAUUAUCAUUUUUCUACUGCAAUGAUGAGUGAUAGUCUUGCAUAUCAGUUGUCAGAAAACCUGCUGUAAGAGUGCCUGUAAAACAAUUCAGACUUCAUUUUUUAUCAUUGAUAGGCUAAUACUGCAUGUUGGCUUUGAUUACCAGUCGCUAGUAUGUUUUCAUGAGAUUACCUUCAAUCUACAAGAGCAUGUCACUACCUGGAAACUACAAGGCACUGCAAGGAAUGUGUAGGUGCAUCUUACCUUUGCAUUCUUAAAAUUUUAGCAAGAAUCAGGACAAGUAGGGCUCAGUAACUAUAAACAUCCCAAUAAUUAACAAGCUGUGUGCUGUUUGUGGCCUCUCUUCGCUGUAGACACUGACCAAGCUGAAAAGGUAGAUAGCCAUCACUACUGCAGGUAAGCAUCUGCGUUUCAAAUAUACCCUGCUAUUUCGCGUAGGAAUAGAUAUGACCAGAAUGCAAAUUGAAAAAUGGAGUGUACUGCUUGAUGCAGCUAGAAUUAUAAUGUUGUUUAGGUAGGUGUCUUUUCAUCUUGACUCUCCAUGGUUCUCUCAGGAAAGCAUGAGCAUGAGAAAAAUAGGUGGAUAUUAAAAAGCUGGUAGGUGACUGGCAUUUUAGGGUUCAAUCGCUAUCUAUAUGUGUUUAGAAGUUUUGUUUAUCAUUUAAAAACUUUCAUUGAAGUUUAAAUUGGAUUACUGCCACAUAUGAUGAAUAGCUUUGACAGCUUUGCUCUUUUCGUGUGGAAGGGAUCAAAUGGCAGAGGACACUUUGUUUUUUUAACAAAUCUUGCUCCAUGUUCUGGAUUAAGGAUUCACUUGUGGCCAGAAAAGCAUCAUUUACCUGUGGAAAAUGAACUACCUGCCAGUAAAAAGAUAUAUUGGAAGUUACGUCGAAGAUGGUCCAAAUUCCUGCAGGACCUGCUCCAAAACAGGUGAUGUUUUCAACUUGUUCACCUAAUCAUUCUUGUUUUCCUACAUUCUGUCAUUAAUUGUUUUGUCUGUGGAAUUUGGGCAGACAUUAGUACAUUACACUGGUUAUCUUUGUAGUGUGCUGCUUACAUUACAGACAGUACAGUUGAGGACAACUAAAAUCAGUGUCUUUUCUUACUGUUAACUGCAAUGUCUAUGCCUCAUUUUUGUAUAGUAUGUUAGGCCAGUCCAUGAACUUGAUUCUUGGAUUUUCAUACAGAUCUUGAACAACGCUGAUUUAGGAAAAAAGAUCAUAAUCAGCUCGGAUUGGAAAGAGUUCUCUUUUCAUAUUACAAUAUUGUAAUGCUAAUCAGCUCGUGACCAGCUCAUACUUUCAAAAGGUUACAUUCAGAUUAGAAAAUUGAAGUUCAGAAGUUUUAUAGUCUAUUACACUAUUCAAUAAUUUUUUUUCAUAACUGAAACAUUGGCAAGCUUAUAUCGUACAUCCAACCUCAAUAUUUGGUGCAUAAGGUUGAAAUGCUACCAGCUUUAUUAAAAAUUACCAUAUAAUUUUUCUUCUUCCUUAGUAAAGGGCAUAAUACUUUCCCGUCAUCGCUUAGGGUUCUUUUGUAAAGGGCAGAAUACUUUCCUGUAAUUUCAUAUGUUCCUCUUGGUCCACUUGAAUAUUUUCUUUUCAUAGCUUCUAAUCAAUACUUGAUGCUUGAUAGCUUACAAUUCAUUUCACUGUGUUUGCAUGUCAGGUCUUUUUUGCAAUGGCACACUCGGAUUCGCAAACUUAUCUUCCAACAUCGAGCGGCACAUCAGGUUCUGGCUCAGUUGCCGGUGAGUCCGGGUAAUGUCGUACUGUACAUUAUUGCCGGGUUUGUAGUUUUGUUUUAGAUAGUUCGUGAUCCGGUUGUUGGUUGCCAGUUCUUCUGUUUCCUCUUUCUCUCCCAUUCUACAAUUGUAUCCAAUCCAAAUGCAAGUGAUUUCUGACCGAUCUCUUUAUUGAUCAUUUUUUUUACAUGCUCCACUUUAAUCACUAUUUACGAUCCUGUGUUAUUGCUUCUCAUGAGUCAGGCCUAAGCUAGAUGGUUGUAACGUGUUGAUAUGAAAAAUAGGUGGACAGAGACAGACAGUACUUAGGAUGGUAAACAUCUGGAAGAGGGGCGCACGGGAUGCUGCCAUGCUGCUGGUGUUCGUACUUUUCAAUGGCAGUUGCCUGCACUGCUGCAUCCCUACACUCAACAUACCUGGUGCUAGCAACCCUUCGACAAACUCCUCCCUAACAGGUCUAAUUUGUUUAUUUGGUUCCUUAUCAGUUAGCAUCAGCAGGAGGAAGCAUGCCUAUGACAUGUUUGUUAAAAAUGCUAAAAUGAUUCAGACUUCCGGGAUCGAUAUUUGCCAUGUGCAUCGCAAAUUUUGUAACAGAUGAUUUAGGUUGAGGCCAAAUCCAGUGAUUAACAUGCAUGUUCCAUUUUUGUUUUAAAACUCCAUGAAGAAAUCAUGCACUCCAUAGAAUUUCUUUGUCUAUUCAUCUUAUCUUGCUUGUAUAUAUUAUCUUUAAAUAGAGGUGCAAGUUUCAUACCUUGCAUGUAUAUACGUUAAAUCUUAACGGAGGUGCACAUGGUGCCUCUGUGUUCUAGGAUAUUCACCAGGUACCUACACGAUUUCAAGUAAUGAGUGGAGAUAACUUCUAUUUAUGAAUUAAGUAAAGUCAAUUGGAUGCUCAGAACUUGCAAUUCAAUUAGGAGUCUUUGAUGUGGGAAAGUGAUUUUUUUGAAAUAAUUGUGGUUGUUGAUAUUCCAAUCAAAAUUUUAUAUCUUAGGUGUUUGAGCAUUGCACAUCUAAUUGGAAGUUGGGGCAGCUGUAUUGCUGUGCACAAGCUUCAUCGUCGACCACUCCAGUGGCAGGUUCUGAUGGCCACCAAUGGAAAUUGACUUGUUCAUUGUUGGCUUGAGAAGACAACUGUUUUUUAUAUACAAUGAUUUGUGCAUGAUCGUCCAUAUGAAAAUUAAUGCUUAUGGAGAUAAUUUAUUUCGACUGUAGCAACAUUUGUGUACUGUUUUUAAUAUUUGUGCUUAUUUUCGUAUUAUUGUUGCCUCGUUGAACGAUCAGUAUAUUGCAAUAUAAAUGUUUUGUUGCACGUAGCAACGCACGGUCACGAUCCUAGCUAGUAGAAAAUUAAAAUGCGCGUGACACGUUUCUUCCAUUCGCCCGGGUGGGGAAAAUAAUGUAGCACGGUGUAAUACGUACGAUGCAUUAUUAUUCAUGUACCUGGACGACAAAUACGCAAAGAUGGACAAAUAAAGCAGAUGGGAGCUAACUGGACAUCCUGCGUUGCCCCUCAUGCAUUCCGUUACGUUAGGCACAUCAGCACACGUACUCCAGUAGGCGCAGGAGUUUUUUUAAUAUUAAUUAAUACAUCAAUUACAAAAAUAAACCCUAAUAUCAUAAAAUUACAAAAAUAUAGCACUAUCGUCUAGUGAGCGGACGAAAAAUCCUAAUCUCGUCUAACAGUAGGACGAAAUCUAUUUUCGUCUGAUGGAAGAACGAAAUCUAGAGAAUUUCGUCCGUUACAAAUACGAAAAUAAUUUCGUCGACUGAGCCGACGAAUUUGCAUGACGAAAUUAGUUUUAGUCCGAGCAGCAGACGGAAACUGGAUGCCUUGCUCGCCGUCUCCGGCUGUCUCCCGCAAGCGCUGCCGUUCACCGCCGAGACUGCCGAGCACCACCCGCCUUCUCUAAUCAAGCAAAUUUGCUCAACUGGCGCUUGUUUUGUCCUCCGCACCAUCCGCCGGCUUUGUUCAAGGAAAUCAAAUCCAUGCUAUCUGACGCAAGCCGCAUAGCACACAGAGAGGGGCGGCGGACUGGCGGAGGCACGCAGGGCUGCGCACAUCGCAGCUCUGCCGCCACACGCGCGUGCUGUCAGCGGCAGCCGGCCGGCAGGGGAGCGGAUGGAGGAAAGGGAAUAGAACCAGCGAGCAGGGGCUCGAGUGUGGCACGAGGCCACGAAGGAGUAACAGGUACGCCGGCGGAGCCCUCUUUUGCGCGAAGAUACGGAGGGCACACGCGGCGGGGCUCGAGCUGCGCGCCGAGCGUCGGAUCAAGCCGGAGCGCUCGCGGGCUUAAGCCUGGGCAGCGGAUCCCUCGCGUCGGAUCAAGCCGUAGUGGCGGAGGAGGCUUUUGCGACUGGCGCAGACCGCCUCUAGCCGGCGGCGCCGAGCUUUGCUUUGCAGCAUGCGCCCACACGCCGGGCACUGCCCUGCCUUGAUGCUGCCGCCCAGUUCAUGCCGCCGGCAGUCAUGGCCCAGACACCCGCUGCCCGCACCCGGCGCCAAGCGCGAGCUCUCUUACUCUCUGGCCCUCUUCGACGACCAACGUCUCCGCUCGCCGCGCAACACGCGAGCCCUUUCGUCCGCCGGACCGACGCGAAAACGCGAUUUCGGCCGCUCGUCCGAUGAUUUCGUCUGAUGAGUCGACGAAAAGUUGAUUUCGUCUGCUCGUUCGACGACUUAGGUAUACUUCCGAUAUUUUUUGUUUUCGGUGUUUAUUUUUGUAAUUACCGUAUUAAUUAGUAUUAAAAAUAAAAAAAUUCAUAGGUACAGCGCAUGGUAUGUAUUGUCGCCAAUGCCAAGCUCUCUUUUCCUAACCACACGAAUGUUUGGUCGGUAAAGAUGCUUGCCAUCGUCUAAAGAUGGCUUGUCGCGUCCCACACCACACUUGCAUGUGUGUCGUGGCGACUUGCAACAACAAAUGAAGCUAAAGCAAAUCGCCAACCUAGCUAAAAGCUAAUCCAUCCCCAUCCAUCCAACAUUCGAACAUCACAAAGAGCUAAUGAUGUUGCCCGACCCCGACCCCCUCCGCCGCCGCCGCUGCCCCACCAUCAGCCGGCGAGAGCAGCACCACCCACCCUGCCACACAUCCUGCACCGUGAACCCUGCCAGCUACAGCCCCAGCCACCCCACACCCCACCUGCCACCCCACGCACCCUCUCCUCUUGGGAGAAGUUCUUCUUCGACUCCCCAUGCCCACCACCUCAACACGGCCGGCCUGCCGCCGUGGACGACGAAUGCGUGCCGGAGAACCCGGAUUUGCGGGCCCAAUCGACGGAUCCGCAACCUGCCGCCUAGAAUCCGCCCUCUGCCAAGCCGGAUCUGAGGGCCACCUAUGCGGAGGUCGUCAGGAGGGGGCGAUUCAAUGCCCCCUCCGGCCAAUGGCACAGCAUCACCACACUGAAGCCAAGCACGCCUCCUCCCGAGGAAGCAGCAUUUACUUCAGCGAAGGGAUGAGGACACGGCACAAUUACUCCGGCGAGGCGCCAAGGACAUGGCGAGCCAGGGCCCUGCGUCAGGUGCCCACAUGCCAUGCUACACCGGUCUCACCUCAGCAAGCCUUAGCGCGGCAGGAGUGGGUGCCAAUCAAGCACCAUAGAGGGCAUUCAUCACAGUGUGCGCCACCCAACCUACUCCGAUGCCACGGCGGACAUGACCGGCACCGCAGAGAGGUUUCAAGGCAGACACCGACCGCAGCCCUGCGCACCUUCAAUCAAGCUACCACAGGGCGCUGCUUCAAUUGCUUGGCUCGUGACCGUCGUGCUGCUACCUGCCACAACCCGGUACGUUGCUUCCGCUGCCGCCGCUCAAGUCACAGGGAGCGAUUCUGUAAAGCAUCGCGCCCCUCCGCUGCUGACCAUCGCCGGUCGACAACGCGACACCAUCCGUAGCCCCAUCCACAGCCAAAGCCAUUGCAUCCUCCGCCUCCACCGCCACCACCACCACCAACUACGCCUACUAGAGUGGCGCCAAUGGCAAUAGGGGAUCCCAAAACACACCCUGAUGUGGAUAAAAUGUUCAUCUUCAACUCAUUUCGUCUUGAGCACGAUGUGCGGCACUGGGAAUCCUACACCCUUGUCCUGUGGGCACUCCAUCUAACACGUGACGUCGGAGCACGCGACAUCGCCGACCUCCUCACCCGAGAGCUCCAACUACAGUGAGGGCAGGUCUCCGUCACGGUCCACUAGCCGGAGCCGUACCUGAUCCGCUUCGAGCACGCCGCCCACGCGGCAGAGGCGCGCCGCCAAGGAUGCUUUAUAGGAGGAGGCAUCAACAUCUGCCUUCGCACCUAGCGCAGCCUCACGCACGCCCUCGACUUCCGCAUCUUCUACAGGAUCUGCCUCUGCCUGGACGGCAUCCCGUCCCACGCCUGGACGCCAGAGAUCGUCAAGAAGGUCGUCAACCACAAGUGCGCGCUCCAGUGCAUCGUCACCGACCUCAUCCAGCCAGCGGACACAAGACACAUCGAGCUUUGGGCGUGGACGGCGAACCCGAGUGAGAUCCCCAAGAAGGUGUGGCUCGCGUUCACGCACAAGCCUACUGACAGAUCCUCGGCAAUCUUCAUGUCCACCGAGCCCCCGCCGGAGUCAUGUCAACAAGGCACCUGCUACGAAGUGUUCAUCCACAUGCCGCUUCUCGAGGACUACACGGCGGUGGCACGCAACCUCUAGGAGGCGGUCGACAACACGGAGGGUAUCAUGCCAAUUCGCCGGUGUUACGAGUGGUGCUACGGGCUGGUCGAUGGCGUGCCACCGGAUGCACGUUCACGCUUCAAAACCUGCCUACCUCGGUCACCGUGGGAACCGGAGGGACGCGACAACGAUGAGGGCCGCCGGAAGCUCAGCGGCCAGGAACAAAGACGCCCAUCGGACGAGCGCGGAUGAAACAACGACGGUCGCGGUAAUUGCGACAGGCGCGAUGCCCAUGACGCCCACGACGCGGGGGCCGGGGGACGCGGACGUGCCCAGCGCGCACGCCGUGAGCCACAGGACAACCGCGAACGCGAACGUGGCAAGCAGCGGGCGGGCAGGUCUAGCUGCAACGAUCAAGCCUUCAUCUGGCCGCCGCACCGCGGAGACGGUGAUGACGAAGACGGCGGCGAAUAUGAACAUCCGGGUCAUGGGCAAAAGUACGGCGACGACUACUGAGGCACAACUGAGCUCUUCCACCGGGAUCGUACUAGGUCCCCACCGUGCUGCGACUACGCACCACGACAUGGACGGCGGCACGACAUGGAGGAUGAGGGAUUGGGCAACAUGAACAAAGCUCAACUGCAAUCCCUCUUCACGUCCAAGGCACAUGCACUAAAGAGCUACAUUCAUGAAUAGGUAAUCACCACACCACCUGCUGAAGCUAACCCCGUGGAUAUGUAUGCGAGGAAGAACUGUUGGAUGGUCGGCGCUGACGAGUACAUCCGUAAGGCUUGCUAGCUCGCCGACCGCCUGGGAAUUGAAGAUGCCUACGCUGGGGAACAAGCCCGGUCUGAGCCGGUGGUGGUGCCACGCGCCUUCACCACGCUGCGGCUGGCGCUGCUCGCCGCACCACCGCCACCAAUGGUGGCUGACAUCGAGAAGGCCCUGGACGACAUGGCCAUAGGUGUGGAACACACCUUACUGAUGGACUCGACGACGGACCAAAGCAGCGAGACAGGCCCAGGGAGGGGCACUCCACCCCGUUGCGGCCGAGCUGUUCCUGAAGGCGGCCCGUGUGGAGGCCUGCACUGAAGCCAACAAGGCCGAGGCGGCCCUCGUGAAAGCAGCCCGCAUGAACGUGGCCCAGGUGACUUCGAGGACCGCCCACACAGCCGAGGAGGUGGACUAUGCGUCCAAGGUGGCCCAUGCAGGCGAGAUGAAGGCGACCCGCGUGGAGGUGGCCAGCGUGGCUACGGAGGCUGCUAGCGCAACCAAGAAGCUGGCGGUCCAGGUGAGGAGACUUAGGCCGCCCAGGCCGAGGCCGGGGCGGACAUUGCGGCCAAAGCGGUGCAGGGGGCCCAGGUGGUUGGAGCGGCCCAGGAGGUGAAGGAGGCCGCACAGGUGGCCACAGAGAACCCUGAGGAGGCUCUAGGGACUCCAGAGGCCACCCAAGACGGUGCCCACGAUUCCAGCCCACACAUGGAAGACCACCAGCGGGAUCCCUGUUCUGCACCCCACGGCCGCCGCUACUGCAACAGUCGACGUCGCGCUGCCCCCGGCAAAGACGUGCCUUCGACAUGGUGGUGGUAAGAAGAAGCGCGCGACUUGCAAAGAAGCCUUCCAUCCCAACCGCUGAGCAAGCUCAGAGGAACUAGUGGCGCAAGCUGGGCAUCUCCAAUGAUGAGAUGGCCCCCAUCGAGGAGGUCUUGCGCGACUUCAUCUCCAUGUUCCGUGGACCGCUUCUAGAGCACAUCAUGGCGGCCAUGACAGCCAUCAUUGACUUGGAUGAUGAGGGAGCGGACAUGCUGGACGAGGCACUGAUUCGCCACGCAGGCACGACAGUGGCGGAUCUGCAGGAGGUAAAUGAAGCGUCCGCGACCUGAAACUUCAGCGGCAAGUGUUGAGCAUCAAACUGCACUACAUGUAUCAAUCUACUUCGUCCACUUUAUCUACUAUUUCAAAAAGUGCUGCUGGCUGCGACCUUCUGGCAAUCGAACCUGCACGCCCUGCUGGCCUCAACCUUCAGGCGACUGUGUGUAAUCUGAACCAAAGAACCUGUAUACGAUUAGAAUGGGCAUCUCCCAACACCAGGGACUCGUUAAAAGUUACAAUCGAUGUGACCGAUGUCAUGAAGGCAUGGAAAUACGGGCCAGCACGAGUGCUUAAAGAAGCAUCAUGUCGAACAAAAAUGUAGACAUCCUAUCCUAGAACGUCUGAGGCCUAAACGCGGCAGCUCGAUGCCUGAUGGUGCAUGAAACACUGAAAUCAACACCAUGCCAUAUUGUGUGUCUGCAAGAAACAAAACUUCAAAACGUAGACUCGGCAUUGGCACACUUCCUGAAGCCUAUAGACUAAAUAAUUUUGCGUACAAGCUGGCGGUAGGCACAAGAGGAGGCAUUCUCCUGCUCUGGAAUGACACGGCAGUAGACAUUCAGAACCUGCAGAUUGGACGCUACUUAGUAUCAGUAGACGUAACAAUUAGACACUGCAUGACGACCUUCACGCUUACUACGGUUUACGGCCCGUCGAGACGCCCCGAAAAAGAAGCCUUUCUAAGAGACAUGCGUGGACUUCCGACGACUCAAAAUGGAUCAUACUAGGGGAUUUUAAUCUCAUCUACCGCGCAAGAGAUAAGAAAACCAAAACCUCAACCUGAAGCUAAUGAGAAGAUCCAGGAAUGCAAUAAACUAUUGCAGCCUCAAAGGAAUAAACCUGUAGAAUAGAAAAUUCACAUGGAGCAAUAAAAGGUGGAGACCUACGCUUAUACAUCUUGACAGAGUCUUUUGCAACAAAAAUUGGGACCUUAAAUUCGGCAAUUGCCUCCUCCACGCGCUAUUGUCCUCGUACUCAGAUCACUGCCCUUUGCUGCUAACCAACCAAGUAGGCCUCAGACGCCCGACCCCGUUCAAAUUUGAAAACUUCUGGGUGCUAGUGCCCUAUUUUCAGGAAGUAGUCUCUAGGUUUGGAAUACUCCUACUCAACACACAGAGCCAUUUCACAGACUCGGUCACAAGCUACAUGCAACAUCUAGGGCCUUGAAACAAUGGAGCACGUCCAUGCUAUCUGAGGCUAGAAUGAAGAUGCACAUGGCCCAGGCGGUCAUAUUGCGCUUGGAUGAGGCACAAGACAUCAGGCAAAACAUGGUUGCGGGGGAAAUUGAAACAUUGACUCAUGGGAUGGGCAGCCAUUGAAAAGAUAAGGGAAAAAUAAUGCACCAGGAUAACUUACCUCAAGGAAGGGGACUUACCUCAAGGAAGGGGACGCUAACACGAGAUUCUUCCAUCUAAAGGCGAAUGGAAUACGUAGGAAGAACUUCAUCUAGAGGCUACGUAAAGACAACGGAUGGGUGUUCUCUCACAAUGAUAAGCAGCGAAUCGUGCAGGAUCACUUCGAGAACAUAAUGAGAGAACCACCACCACGACCGGUCGAUCUUAAUUGGCCAGCGCUAAACCUACCUAUGGUGGACCUAUCCUCCCUUGAUAACCCAUUCACAGAGGAUGAAAUUCUACGGGCAAUCAAUCAAACACCGAAAAAUAAAGCACCGGGACCGAAUGGCUUCAUUGGCAUAUUCUUUAAGCAUUGUUGGGAGACAAUCAAGUACGACCUAAUCGCGGCCAUCAACUCCUUCCAUAACUCCCGUUGCGCAAAUCUAAAUUUACUCAACAAGGCCAACAUCAUCCUAAUUCCAAAAAAGGAUGGAGCGGAGGACAUUAAAGAUUUCCGACCGAUCAGCUUAAUCCACGCUAUAGCGAAGAUCAUAACAAAGAUCCUAGCCCUGCGCCUAGCUCCAUUCAUGAAGCAGCCUAUAUCGCCCUACCAAAGUGCCUUCAUUAAAGGACGAAGCAUUCAUGAUAACUUCCUCUACAUGCGCAACCUGGCAUGCCGCUUCCAUAGAAACGAGGAACCAGCCUUGCUCAUGAAACUUGACAUAUCCAAGGCCUUCAACUUGGUACGAUGGGACUACCUAAUGACUCUACUACAGCAAAGAGGAUUUCCAACGAAAUGGAGAGACUGGAUUGCAGCCAUUCUGACCACAUCAACAUCACGCAUAUAGCUAAACUGGAUCCCCAUGGACCCCAUACAGCAUGGCAGAGGUCUGCGCCAAGGUGAUCCGCUCUCACCGCUGCUCUUCAUACUAGGAAUAGAUCUGCUACAAUGACUUAUGACAGUGGCCAUGAAAGAGGGCUACUAAACAAGCUAAACGGCCGAGCAGCAAGACUGAGAGUAUCUAUGUAUGCAGAUGACACAAUAAUAUUCGUCAAGCCCAUGACAAGAUAUGUAACAAACAUGAAAGACCUACUACUCAAAUUCGGAGAAGCUAUUGGCCUCCACACAAAUAUACAAGACAAGCGUCACACCUAUCAGUUGUACCGACACAGAUAUUGAAGCAGUGCUACGCAACUUCCCGGUCACACGACAGAAUUUUCCGCUCAAAUACCUAGGGUUACGACUAACGAUCAGACACCUAAGGAAAAUAGAUUCCCAACCACUGGUGGACAAAGCAACAAACAAACUCUCAAGUUGGAAAGGCAGGAACUUAACCCAGGCAGGCCGUGUUUAUCUUACUAAAGUGGUGUUAUCCUCACAACCAGUGUACCUGCUAAUGGUACUCAAAACGCCAAAAGAAGUAUUGGAAGAGAUAGACAAAAUCCAAAAAUGUUUCCUAUGGGCAGGUGAAAAGGAACUCUCUAGAGGAAAAUGCAAGAUCAACUGGACAAGAACCAGCUUGCCAAAGGAGCAUGGCGGACUAGGGGUUCUAAACUUCGACAAAAUUGCAAGGACACCGCCCAUUAGAUGGCUCUGGCAUGAAUAGGUUUCCCCAGAUAAGACGUGGGUCGGAACCAAAACACCGUGUAACGAUCACGAUAGACUGCUCUUCGCCGCGUGUACGACAAUCCAUCUUGGAAACGGUGAGCGGACACAUUUCUAGCAUGAUGCGUGGAUACAGGGAAGAUGACCGAAAGACAUCACCCUUGGAUUUUAUGCUAGGACAAAGAAGAAAAAGAGGACGGUGGCCGACGCACUAUAAAACAACAACUAGAUUAGAGACCUCAACCACCUCUCCAGUUUCACUACAACACACCUAAGCAAGUUUGCCACACUAUGGACCUAAUAUGACCAUACAAGUUACACCCUAUGCAGGAGGACAGAAUCACUUAGAAACUCACGCAAAGCGGUCAAUACACAGCGGCAUCAGCCUAUAAGGCACAGUUCAUCAGAUGCACAAAGACACCCAAGCUGGUAAGCAUCUGGCAUAUGUGGGCCCCUCCUAAGUGCAAAUUCUUCGCAUGGCUAAUUCUGCAGAACAAGGUUUGGUUGUUAGACAGGCUAGCAAAACGAGGUUGGGACCACUCCCCGACUUGCCCCCUAUGCAUAUGCACGAUGGAGACGGCGCACUAUCUACUAGUAAAAUGCAGAUUUACCAGACGAAUAUGGACACGAAUAGCUGCAAAGUACGACGUGCCUGGAAUGGUGGACUAACAUUACAUCGACGCCAGGAAUUUCACGAAAGACGACACAUAGCAUAAUGCUACUGAUCAUGUGGAAAGUAUGGAACGAAAAGAACUCUAAAAUAUUUUGGCACCAGAAUCAUUAGUACCGUCAAUUUUGGUAAAAAUCAAGAACUCAGCCAGUUUGUGGAUAACAGCCGGGGCAAAAAGUCUUGCGGGCCUACUAGCACGAGUUUAAGCACAUAACUUGUAUAGCUUUUGUUUUUCAUUUUACCAGUUAGUCGGUUGUAACUAUCCCUCUUUAUCAAUGAAAUAGGCACCGUCUUGUGCUCAUUCGUUAAAAAAAACAAAGAUAAGAGCUACUCGCGUCUAGCGGUGUGCUUGGAAGCAACCAAACACGCCUUGUUUCCUUAUAAAGAAAUAAAAAACACGAUUUGUCUUGGGCUGUUGCGAGGCCCGGCCCGUCUCAUCAUCAGGGCUAGAUGUUGGUUCACUGGGUAGCCCAGGUCGCGACUCGCAUCAUUCACAGCACAGCCCACGCACAUGUUUCAUGGACGAUACAAAUAUUUUUUUUGCAAGCAGCUGCCGUAUAUAACAUGUGACAUGGCACAUGCAUGUAGAAUACUGCCUCCGUCCAAAGUCAUUUUAGAAUUGUUCUAAUUCAAAUAUUUUUAAGUUCAAUCAAUAUUAUCAUAUAUUUAUGGUAUAAAAUUAGUGCCAUUAGAUUUAUCAUGAGAUAUAUUUUUAUAAUAUGCCUAUUUGAUGCUAUAAAUAUUGAUACUUUUCUCUAUAAAUUUGGUUAAAGUUGAGAAAGUUUGACUUAAGAUAAACCUAAAAUGACUUGUUUUUUAGGACAGAGGGAGUAACUUUUUUAAAAAAAUAAGACAAAUGUUUUAUGAAACUCUAGCACCUGAAUACCUAUUUGAGUUGAUUAAUUUAUAGGUACUGCCACCUCCGUCCAAAUUGUAGGUCGUUUGGCUUUUCUAGGUAUAUAAUUUUUGCUAUGCACUUAGAUAUAGUGUAAGUCUAGAUGUAUAAUAAUAUCUAUGAACGUAUAAAAGUCAAAACGACCUACAAUUUGAAAUGAAGAGAAAGUAAAUAUGUUCAUGCGUUGCAACCGGAAAAAUUUUAAAUUUAAAAUAGGCUCAAAUAAAUGUAUAUUCUCUAUAAUGAUGUGGUCAGUUUAGUUCAGUUGAUGAUGUUCAAAUGAUGCUGAGAGUAAUAUGUUGUUGUUAUGAACAUCUAGUAUGUACACAUGCAUAUUCCUUUGAAUGUGCAUCUAUUUUUUGUGAAAUUCGUUCGGUACUAAUCGUGGAUUUUAUGGACAACACAAUUGACAAUUAUUUUUGUCUAACUGGCGCUAAUCUGCAAUGGUAGUUAGAGGUUAACAAAUAUUGCGGCCUAAUUCGACAUUGCUACAACUAGUACCCCUAUACGUAUCGGCGCUAACAAACACCAGUAGAAUUAGCUACUCAAUUGUACCGGCUCUUAGUGAAACCCAAUUAGAAUAAUACCAUAUUCUAAUAGGUGGAAAGUACACCGGCACAUUUAGAAAAAUAUUUGUGUCGGUUUUGACACCGGCACGAAUAACGUACCCUCAUUUGUAUCGGUCACGUGGUAGCAGGCCCAUCAUUGGCACGAAUGAUGGUUUCAUGCCGGCACAUAUGAGGAUAGUUGCAGAGGUGUAUAUAAAUGCACUAUCCAUAUUCACAAUAAUAGUCGUGUAGGGCACAACUAAUGUCUAAAUGAUCUUGUGAUGCUAAACCAUCUUAAAUGAAAAAUGUAUAAACUAUAAAAUUUUAAAUCAUGUUGACCACUACAACUUUAAUAUAAAGAUGUUCUACAUCCGAGAUUUUUAGAAAAAUUCAAAAUUAGAGAACUUGUAAUGAUUUUUUUACUAUUAAAUGACCUUGAAUGAAAAAUUUAUCAACUACAAGGUUUUAGGUCUCACUGAACUCUACAAUUUUGAUAUAAAAUUUGUCUUUAUACAAAAUUAUAUGAAACAUUUAUCUUCGUGAGACCGUUUCUAUGGCGGAUCAUACCAUCAUCCAUCCGUAGAAAUCAUUUUUGGGAAAGUAGUUAACAUUCCAGAGGAGUCUCACUCCAUGAUCCAAUCCUGCAAAUGUUUCUUUAGACGGCGGUCAGAAAGCUACAGUAACCAUGUUCUUUUUGUAGGAGCGUGGGACCUUUUGGAACGUCCCUGAAAAAUAAUCGGGACGUGCCUACAAAUUUUUGUAGUAGUACCCACCCAGUGAAAACUAGAUCAAAAUGAGGAUGAUGGAGGCAGGAAGGGAGCUAGUAGGAGGAUGGAGGGGGCAUGGCCCCUUCGUAUGUCCAUAUGCAGUUUUGCGCAUGUAUGUAUUUACUACGUUAAAUUAGUUUAUAGGCUACUAUUUUUAGGUAUUAUAUAAAAAUGUUACUAAUCAGCCUUUGUAUGGAUUAUAGCCGCGGAGAAGCAAUCUUCACUUGUUCUCAUUCAACUUGGUCACUCAGCAAUGAAAGAAAAACGUGAGGCCGGACAUGAAAUUAAUAUGGAUGCACUGUAAUGUACAACGGGUGGGCAGGAGGUCGACUUACGGGACAUUGGUCGCUGGAAUUGUUCACAUAUCCUGGCGGUCCAUCAGUUCCUUUAAGGUUCGUAGAGAUGACAGAUGAACGGUAUUCAGUUUCAAAUUAAAAGUUGCCAUCUGCCAAUUUGUUCAUAUAGUUUGCCUUAUUCAGCUUAUAUUUCUAUGUGUCCCUCAUGCUUUUGGGUUCCGUAUUUCGGUAUUUGUAUACAACUGAACAUGCACUCCGUACUAACGUUUUGGUCAUCUGGCACACCAGCAGUAUUCUGUACGAAACCCAAUCAAGAUAAUCGAAGCACAUGUUAUCAUCCUUCUUACUAUUCUUCUGAGGCCAAGUUCUCACUAUUUACUUUGCCAAGUUUCAUAUACUGAGCAUCCUCUGAAAACCUGAAAACUGAGUGUUCCUUUCGUUCUCCUAGAAUUUGUAAUGUCUUCGAUACUAUUUGUUGAUGUACCUCCAACCAACUAACCGGAUUCCAAUCUUCUUCAAAUUUCCCCCCUACAUGUUUGCACAAACAGGCCCAUGGAAAUUGAUUCCUCUUGUGAAUGGUCCUCUGCAAAAGAACUACUUUUGUUGGUUGGAGUUUUUCUUCGUACAACAAAAUGCAGUACCCACAAUAGGUCUGCUCUAUCCACCUAAAAUGUCCCAGCUGUUGCAACGUAAAUUCUGCAUUUAACCUAUAUAUAACACAAAACAAUGCCUGCAGCCUCUAUAUUUGCUACCAGCAUCCUGUCUUAUAAUUAUUUCGUACCUUUUCAUUAAACUCUACAUUUGAUUCUUUCAAUUCUUCCCGCAGAAAUGCGCGGGGUUCAGACUAUAUAUAGAGCUUGAUUGGAUUGGUUUGUUGUUAAAAUUUUGGCAUGUCAGAGUUUUGGCAAGUCAAUUUUUUAGCCACCGUUUGGUUUGUUACCAAAAGUUGGCAACUUCUCCCACUUAUCUUACCAAAAUAUUGGUAAGUUUUUUCUCAAAUUUUGAAUUGCCAAAACUUUGGCAUGCCCAAGUUUUGGCAAGCAACCAAGCUCACGGUAGGCAGUCAUCCGCUUAUUCUACAACAAGUCGCUAGUCAAAAAGGCUCCAUAUUUUUCUCCGCGAUACCUCUUUUAGGCCGAAUUAAAGCUCAAGGCCCAACAUGGGUUACGGACGGCCUAAUAGGACGGCCCAAGAAGUACGCGCACAUCACGUGAAUGAAUAAAACAUAUGGGGGAAGUCCACUGCUCCACUAGCUUUCCAUUUGACAAGAGAAGACGCCACGCACGCACGCAAAGGCAGGCGAGGCGGAGAGGGGCAGCACCGUCCACCUCCACCAUUUCUUCCUCUUCCUCUUCCUCUUCCUCCUCGCCUCCACCCCUUCCCUUGUUCCAUCCCCUCCCACCGGGCCACCGCUCGCCCUCCCUCCCGCGCCAAUCGAUCGGCCCAUCCAUCGAUCGAGCACGGGGCACAGGCUCCCAAUCCGGAGCGGUUCCUCCCGUUCGAUACUUCGAUUCGAUCGGGUUGGUUGAUUGCCUGGUUUCGGUGGGCGCCAUGGCGGCGACGGAGGCCUCCGCAGAUAAGAACGCCGUCUUCCGCAAGCUCCGCGCCAAAUCGGACAACAAGGUAGGGUAUUAUUCUUUUGGCAGUGAUUGAUUCGAUUGUGGAUUCGAGAUUGAUCGCGCUUUCUCUGGCUGUGUGAGUGCCGUCUCUGUGUCUGUGUGUGUGUGUGAAAUGUUUUUCCCUCUCUGGGCAAUUCCCGGUUCUGACGGUUGUGCGCAUGCAGAUGUGCUUCGAUUGCUACGCCAAGAACCCAACCUGGGCGUCCGUCACCUACGGCGUCUUCCUCUGCAUCGACUGCUCGGCGGUGCACCGCAGCCUCGGCGUCCACGUUUCCUUCGUCAGGUCACCUCCCCUCCCCUCAUCUGCUUCUCUUCUCUUCUCACACCUGUCCACGUACGGGAGCGCGUGGCCAUGCCUCGGUGCAUAAUAGUAAUCUGCUGCAGCGGGUGACUGUUCGAUCACGUGUCCAUACGUACAACUGCACAUUUUUUAUAUAAUACUGUAGAUAAGAUUACAUGAAUGCAAAAUCUGAAUUUCUUGUGUUCUGGUUUGCCUGCCACGCAUGUUCAGAUUUCAUGUAACCUGUAGUCCCAUACUCUGUUGUGGUAUGGUGCCCCAUAUGCAGAUUAAUACACAGUUUGCGUGCGAGGCAUGAGGCAAAAGUCCAUUUUUUUGUGUUCCUUGUUUAUAGAGUAAUUUUUUGCACUGUAAUUAGAACUGUUUGACGCACAUUUUGUAAUCUUCCUGUAUCAUGAAUUCAUGAUCCUGAGUAAUGUUACUAUCACGGACUUAAUGUUAUUGGCAUUUGACUUUGAGUAGAUACAAUUAAUAUGACCUCUAGUCCAAGUUGACUUAAGCUUCUCUGAAUGCACGUGACUUGCUUUUUUUCUUUCUGAUCCUGACCACCUAACAUCAUAUCCUUUGGAAGUGUUUAACAAUUUUUCUGCAACAUUGCUGCUUUAUCCAAUUUCAUAUCGAACAACUGAAUCAAUACUGAAAAAACUUCUGUAAUUGCAGGUCAACAAAUUUGGAUUCGUGGACUCCAGAACAGUUGAAAAUGAUGGUUUACGGAGGAAACCACCGAGCACAAGCUUUUUUUAAGCAGCAUGGUUGGACAGAUGGUGGAAAAAUUGAAGCAAAGUAUACAUCAAGAGCUGCUGACUUGUACCGGCAGUUGCUUGCUAAAGAGGUUGCUAAAAGCUCCACAGAAGAUGGCAAUAAUAGUUGGCCAUCUUCCCCAGUUUCAGCUCCCCAGGGCCCAAAUCAAACUGCUGCAUUUCCCGAUCUCAAGCCGACAGAGGCAUCCAAAGAAAAUGCAAGCGAAAAGACUGAGCCUGUUCGUUCACCUAGAGCUCCAACUCAUUCUUUCAAGAAGCCAAUUGGUGCGAAGAAACCUGGAAAUAAGACUGGUGGACUUGGGGCGCGGAAGCUUACGUCAAAGGUAUGCUUUAUGCAGUGUAUGAUGGAGUGUUUACUUCAUUAUCUUGAGAGCUCAUUGCGGCAUUUUGGUCCUUAUUCUCCAUAUGACACCAAGUAACAAUAUCUGCUUUCUUAUGUUGUGUCGAAGGAGUGAGAAAAGGGAAGAGUAGCUAUAUAACUCAUUUCAUUGUUUUUUUUUUCGUGUUUGUUUAAGUAAUGUGGGGUUUCCUUUCCAACAAUUUCUGUUUUUGCUGUAGCCAAAUGAAAGUCUCUAUGAGCAGAAGCCUGAGGAACCAGCUCCUGUCCUGCCAUCGGUUACUGAGAGUACUACAACUAGGAGCAAAUCCUAUACUUCACGAUUUGAAUAUGUAGAAAAUGCACCUGCUUCUAGGACUGGGAGUAGUUCAGGAGAUAACCAGAUGAGUGGACAUGUUGCACCCCCAAAGUCUUCGAACUUCUUUGCUGAAUUUGGGAUGGACAGUGGAUAUCACAAAAAAUCUUCCAGUUCAUCCAAAGUGCAGGUAACUGUUGCUUUAUUCAUACAAACAUGAUGAAUCACGAGUAUGUGAAUUCUGUUAUGUUUUGGUGGCCCCCAUUUGUCUUAGUUUUGAGUAAUUAUAUCUGUACUUAGUUCCACUAUUUCACUUGAUUUGAGAUCCUCGGGGAAGUAUCUGGAGAUUGAUACACACUGCUACUUCUAGUUCUUUUUGGAGUGUUCAUUCCCACUGUUAGGUCAUCAAAUUCUGGCGAGGUGCUAUGGAAUAGUUAGUUUGUUACUACGAACACUGACAUGUCCAUGUUGAAUUCUUAUCUGUGAGUAACACGAUAGUGUGAAAGGUUUAAAUUCAUGUAGGGGUGGUAAAAUAGUUGUGCAUAUAAAUUGUGUGUACGCAUUUGAAGCUGAAUUCUCUCUGAUUGGACUGUUCUCCAUGCUGUAUAAAAUACUUUGACCUUCCUGCUUAGUUAACUGUCAGCUAGAGGAUCGAGGACCAUAUCUCAUUGAUGCUGCUCUAGCUCAAGAAUCUCUAAAUUGUUUUUUUAAUGAACAGAAUCUCAAAGUUGUUUGAAUGCGUUUAAACAUGUAGCUAAGCCUUUCAGCUCUUUCUAGUUAUGCCUUUAAAACAUUCAACUCAAGUUCUUACUGAUAUCAUGCUUAUUUCCUUAGUUCAUAUAUGCAUAAAAAAUCAUGUGUCAACAUUCUUGAAAGGAAGAACCUUGUUACAUACGUUAUACCUUAUUUAGAUUUUCUUCUGUUCCAAAUUCCAAGUACUCUUUUCAUCCCUUUGAGGUGACUUCCAAGUAGUUUGAAAUAAUUGGUUCCAAUGUUCUCCAGGUUGAGGAAAGUAGUGAAGCAAGAGAGAAAUUCUCGAAUGCGAAAUCAAUUUCAUCCUCUCAGUUUUUCGGUGACCAGGCCAGCUUUGAAAAGGAGGCUCAAGUUUCUCUCCAAAAGUUUUCUGUAAGUAUUGUUGCAUUGCUAUUUUGAAAUCACCAUACUGAUUGGUACUGUUGGUACAACAUUGAAUCUUACACUUAACCGACUUGAUCUCUUUGCAGGGUUCCUCGUCCAUAUCAAGUGCUGACCUAUUUGGCCACCCGGCGAACAAUUCCAGUGUGGAUCUUAGUGCUUCAGAUCUGAUUAAUAGAAUCUCAUUCCAGGUAAAACCACUCUGGCUGCAUAUGAUAGCGUUUGGUUCCUUAGCGGACCUGUGUUAACACCUUUUGUGUUGUCUCGGCAGGCCACUCAGGACCUGUCAUCUCUGAAGAACAUGGCGGGGGAGACGGGGAAGAAGUUGACAUCUAUGGCGUCCAACAUCAUCACUGAUCUUCAGGACCGGAUCCUCUGAGCUUGACUUAUAGUGGAGUCUCCUUUACGUUGCUUCAGUGGCUGGCUUCACCCGUCAACUGGGUCGCAAACCUGCCGGCCCGGCACCAUCUGUCUAGGAGUUCGUAGGCGUCUGAAAACCUCAAGUGGAACUUAGGGAAAAUCGAAAGAAAGGAACCUUGUGCGAAUGCUGUAGUCAUGUAUGCACCUGGAGCUGUAACAGAAACGUUCUUUUGCCGUUGGUUCUGUUUCUGUUCCAGAAGGAACUCAACAUAUAUAUUAUACUUUGCUUUGUAAUGACCAAUUGCAUGAGUAGUUCCAAGUUACGGGAGCUUUUUGCAAUUUUAUCCUCGAGCUAGAUUACGUUCUGUUCGGUGGCAACUGGCAAGCUUAGCUCGACUGAGGUUCUGUUGUGGCAAACAGGGGCAACCUGGGGCUCUCGUCGACCGCAUUACGGCAGCGGCAUUUGCAAAUCGAACACAAAGGAAAGGCAAUUCUUGAUCCUGCGUAUAUGAAUGGGCCUCCAGAGAAAACGAUGAAGCGUUAACCGGAAAAACGCGAGUUCCAAUAGACGUGCAAACCAAUAUCCAAUAUUCUCGCGCGCCUAAUUCGACGGUCAGCGGAGGUAAAUUUGUGCGCCUCGCUGCGCUCCCAAUCCCUUAAAAUCAUCCGAUCUCCAUCAAAACUUAUUCCAAAUUUCAACUCAUUUUGUCUUUUCUAAACAUCUCCAAGAGUGUCCAAAAUACUUUCCCAAAACUCAAUUUCAGGAGGAAACAGAAAAGAACACGGCUCCAACAGUUGCCUAAGCCCGUGCCCAACUUCUUGGCGCGCCCAACCCCAACCGAUUUGUGCUCGAUCAUUCGAAGUCCCUUGUUGCCGUACGGCACCACCUCAACGGCGGUGAAAACAGCAAGCAUCUUCCAAGGCGGGAAGUCAUCCAUGUCGCCUGGCUUCCCAGUUGUAUCACAGAACAACCUGGCGAUGCAAAAUCUGGCGGAGCCCAGGUGAACGAGGUAGGAUCCAACUUGGAGCCACUCCUUGGGCGGCCGGAGGUCUUCCCAGACGUUGCGAGGGGUAGGGGCAGACUGCCGCCUGACAGCUGCGGCGAGGUCGAAGGCGCAGAAAAGGUAGCUGCCCUUCUUGCUGGAGAGGCCAAACCAGAGCUUCAACUCAGGAACGUACUCAGCAAGGCCGCAGAACGGCAGCGUCCAGUCUCCCUGCUUGGCCCAGGCGCCGCGUCCCGUGUCGAACGAGUAGGUGCCCUCGUCCUCCUCCGUGGACACCCACAACUCCGAGCCACCAACCACCGUGUAGGCCUGGAUGUGGGCGGGGUGGUAGGGCGGUGUCGGGAGAGAGCGGCAGUGCCAGCCAACGCCGCCAUGCUCACAUACAUACGAGAGCCUCGAAGCAAUGCUGCUUCUCACCAAAACAGGGCACGAUAUGGAAAUUGUCGAGGACAUAAAGCCUGUCCCCAACGGCGACGGACACGGGCCUAUCCUUGGGUUUGCUGAAGCUGGGCACGGUGCACAUGGCGUGGAGGCCGGCGUCGUAGAUGCUGGCGCGGCCCGUCUGGUCCGUGGCGAGCACCUUGUCGCGAUCGAUGAGUAUGAAGUGCAUGUUGCCGCUGCGCUGCUCCGACGAGGGGGCGUAGAAGGUUAUGGUGGGGCGAGGCAGCCGGGCGUCCACCAUGGCCGCAGACAAGGCCUGCAGGGAUCUCGGAUUAAAGAAGCCCGAAAUGUUGAUGCGGUGCAGGUCCAAAGUGCAAGGCUUAUGGCCGUCCAACACCAGAUACACAAACCGCCGCAGGAAGCUCGCCGCCAUUGCAGAUUACUGUUGCUGCCCUUCUUCUCCACUUGGAGGGUAGGCUCCUCUUAUCAAUUCUCUACUAGAAGCAACAAAAACAUGCGACGAAAUUCUACUCAGAGCGACACAAAAAAAAAUUGCAUCGGAAUUCAAACAAAAGAUCUUGAUGUCUGUCAAGAAAGCAUCAUAAAAUCAAAUAAAAAAUUCUGAGAAUACCUGGACUCCGCCUGAUGUGAGAUGCGCUUACGAAGGUGAACAAAUGCAGCGAUUCGACACCGAUGCACGCACAAAGAUCAGGGUUUGGAUACGAUUUUGAUGGAAGGAGAAGUGUGUUUGGAGAUGCGGCGGCGGCUCGGCUGCGAGGAUGUGCUAUUACUUUUGGGAAAGAGUGACGGCUGGGGUGCUGCAGGAAGGAUGUAGGUUUUCCGGGCGCUCCUAUCUGUAUUCCGGAGGAUGGGUAAGCUAAUCGUCGCACAGCCCAUCACGGCUCAAUACUCUGCGUCAAGGAUGGCCUGCUACUUUUUUUUUUUACGUGGGAAACUAGCGCGAGAAUCACCGGAGGCAGUAGCUUGCCAGCUUGCUGCUUUUUGUUUUUUUAAUUUGUAUGUACUACGAAGUACGAACGGACAACUAUAACAACAUCCUGCUCAUUUUAUCCCAUUUGCUUUAAUCUAUGUGAUUAUAAGUUACUAUUUUAUACUUUCAUCCUUUCAACAUUUUGAAUAAUCAGAUUCAACGAUUCUCGAAACACCGUUCAACUCUUAGAAAAACUACCUCAACAUUUAUGAAAAAUGUUGGAAAAUAUCAUAUUCAACAUUUCUUAGAUCUAAUUCAACAUUUUCGUUAAAAAAAUGUUUCAACAUUUUUAUGUAAAUGUUGUGGUAAUAUAGAAAAAAUGUUGAAACAGUAUAAAAAGUUAAAUGUUAAGGUAAUAUAGAAAAAAAAUUUAAACAACAUAAAAAUGUUGAAACAGUUAGUCUAAAUGUUGAAAUGGUUCAGGCAAAUAUUAAAAUAUUUAUUUUUCAUUAAAAAAUAUGCAAAUUGGAUCUCAUCUUAUUCAUUAAUUCUAAAUAAUCUCAUGGUUCAAACGGAUUCGAAAAAUGAUAAGUAGUUUAGGGGCUGUUGGGAUACAACCUACUAAAUUUUAGGAGGGUUACAUCGGAUAUUUGGACACUAAUUAGAAGGACUAAACAUGAGCUAUGAGCUAAUUAUAAAAGUAACUGCAGAACCUCUAUACUAAUUCGCGAGACAAAUCUAUUAAGCCUAAUUAAUCCAUCAUUAGAAAAUGGUUACUGUAGCACCACAUUGUCAAAUCAUGGACUAAUUAGGCUUAAUAGAUUCGUCUCGCGAAUUAGACUCCAUCUGUGCAAUUAGUUUUGUAAUUAGACUAUAUUUAAUACUCCUAAUUAGUAUCGACCAUCCGAUAUGACAGGUACUAAAGUUUAGGGGUGUAUCCACACAUCCCCUUAGGAGAUAAAUAAUUUUGAAUCUUGAAGUAACGUUGCUCACCUGCCACCCAUCUGGCAACCAACAGUUGCUCGCCACGUGUGUGCAGAUGCCGUGCCUGUUGCAUGGGUGCAUGCUUGGCGGCGCUCCUCUGCGUGAAUCCAAUCUGUCCACACUUGCAACACGAAUCUCAUACACUGGUAAAUUUAUCUUCCAGAAGAUGGAUAGGAUUUUUGGGUUUUCCUCCUCAGCUUUGGGCUGAAUUGAGCCGCUAGGGUCACACUUUUCGUUUCCACUCUUUAAUUAGCGUAAACAAAAAAGGCUCGCCUGUAAUCGUGGGCUUGAGUUUCUGUUCGGCCCACCAACCCAGCAUUAUAUCAUUGUACUCCCUUUGUUCUGCAAAGAGGUUCUGCAAAAGGGUCCCUUUAGUUCUAUUCUAAGUCAAAUAAUUUUAUAUUUAACUAAAUUUAUAUAAAAAUAUAUCAAUACUUUUGAUAUCUACCAAGUUUCGUUAGAUUCGUUAUGAAAUAUAUUUUUAUAGCAUACCUAAUUAUUGCAAACUUGGUUAAAUUUAAAAUAGCUUGACUUAGGACAAACAUUAAGGGACACUCUUUGUGGGACAUAGAGAGUAGAUAUUUAUUAAAAAAUUUAAUUUGAUGGAAGCUAAAAUGACUUAUAAUUUAGAACGGAAGGAGUAACUAUUAACACAGUGGACCGAUAAUAGUUAAUAGUUAGUAGAUCUAUUUGCAGCCAUUGUUUGCAUCCCCAUCUACCAAUUUGAACCAUUAAGUGCUAACUUAUUAGUUCUAAUGGAUCUAAACAUGGCAUUCCUAGCUCGACUGAGGAUCAGCUUUGUGGUAAGCAGUUGUAGACCUUGGGCUCUCAUCAUGAUCCUUCGAUUAUGCAUCGGUGAUGGGUCUCCGGUAAAAAGAUGUCAUAUAGGAAAGUCGCGACGCUAAAUUACAUCUCCACUAGUUAAAGGCUAACAUGCUUUCUAUACUGAGAGCGCGACACAGACCUCCCCUAGUGUCUAAAGCAAGUGCCCAAAACACGAUUCCUGUUUCGAAUGCUUGUGGUCACGAGUGAUGGCCUAUUGGUUCUAUGUAUUCUAGAUUAUUAACUGCUCCGGCUGCGCGCGGUUCUGACUGCCUAUCCGUGCUGUACAUGAGAGCUUAGGGAGGUGCAGUGCAGGAGCGGCAAGCCCCCGAACCCCGAUAGUUGCCGUCGUCGUCACUCUUCUUCCACUCUCCUGCAGCCGCCCAUGCUCUCCGCCUACACAGAUCGAAGUACCUUGCCACGGCGCGGAGCUUUGUCCUCCGCUUUGAUGCCUUCGAUAUCCCGCCACCGCCACCGCCUGUAUCCGCGCACGAGGGCCUCUUCCGCUUCUCACCCUUGCACCCUCCGUUGCCUUCUUCGCGGCAGCCUGCACACCACAGAAGCACAAUAGAAAUAAAUAGGAACGCCAUGCAAUGCAAACACAGUUCAUGGCAGAUUGACUAUAAAAUUCAGAACGGGGGUACACAGGUGCGGGCACGCAUCUGUAAGUUCAUGGUAAAUUGAUAGCAGAAAUUCUGUUUCACAAAUGAUGCUUUCUACUUUUGUGUGCUUAAGAAUAUCCACGGCUCGAGGUUUCAGGAGAAACAAAAAGAACCAAGGUACACAUGUAGCAGUAAGUGGCUGAAUUACAGAAGGCGCCUACUCUAUGUGAAUGGACUCGGCUAACUCACUAGAGCUGAUUGCACUUGCCCCUAGUAGCGCCAUCUGCUGUCUCGAAUUCAAGGUUAGACUUGGACUUGGACUCUACUGUUUCGUUCUCUGAGGUGCACAUCCCCACAGGUGGUGCUCCAGAAUAAGCCCCGGUUUCAUUUUCUAUAAAAACAAAAAAUAAGACCAGUAAGUCUACCAAUAACACAGUUUUUUUUUCUAGAAAGUAACAAUCAGCCUUAGUACCGUGGACACUGUAUUAGCAUAAGUAUCAAAUCAUUUCUAUUGACUGACAAAUGUGACCAUACUUACCCUGAGAGGAGAAAUUCCUGCAACCGCAGUUGUUGCCAUAUUUAUGGGACAGUUGGAGUGAGCUGCAAAUGUUCUCACUCUUUGGUGGUGAACCUCCCUGUGUGACUGCGGGAUCAACUUCUGAAGAUCCCUGUGUGCUCGGGUUCAGUUCCUUCGUGUCCAGUGAUCCCCUUGGGUUGACAUUCUCCCACGACUUGUCAUCAUAUUUAUGUGACAGUUGGAGUAAGCUGCAGAUGUUCUCACCCUUUGGCGAUGAACCUCCCUUUGCGACUGCGGGAUCAAAUUCUGAAGAUCCAUGUGUGCUUGGGUUCAUUUCCUUCGUUUCCAGUGAUCCCCUUGGGCUGACAUCUUCCUUCUCCCAUGACUUGUCAUCAUACUUAUGUGACAGUUGGAGUAAGCUGCAGAUGUUCUCACCCUUUGGCGGUGAACCUCCCGGUGUUACUACGGGAUCAACUUCUGAAUAUCCAUGUGUGCUUGGGUUCAUUUCCUUCGUGUCCAGUGACCCACUUGGGCUGACAUCUUCCUUCUCCCAUGGCUUGUCGUCAUAUUUAUGUGACACUUGGAGUAAGCUGCAGAUCUUUGGCGGUGAACCUCCCUCUGUGACUGUGGGAUCAAUUUCUGAAGAUCCAUGAGUGCUUGGGUUUAUUUCAUCUGUGUCCAGUGAGCCCCUUAGGCUAACAUCUUCCUUCUCCCAUGGCUCCAAAAACCCAUCAGCAUGGCCAUUCUUAUCGCUUGACCCAGUAAGGCAGCUCAGUUCUUGUGUUCCUCCUGACAUUCCACCCAAGCAGCAACCUUCUGCCAGUUUGUCUGUCGAAUCUGACAAGGUAUUGCCAUUUCCAUUCUGUUGUAUGUCCUGAGAGAAUUCCGGCAAACUAGACCCGUUACCAUUCUCCUCUGCUGGUCCAAACAAGCAGUAACCUGAAUUAUCUUGCCCAUGAGAAAAUGUUGACUCAUCUUUGUUGUUGACGAGAGCAAAUUCACUGGUACCUUGUUCUGCCAAGCUUACUGAACCAUCCUGUGGAAACUUGUCUUCUUUCUCAAGCAAGGUAGAGAACCAAGGGGAUGAACCUUGCUUCACAUAGAAAAGAAGAUAUGCUGCACUGUCCAAAACGCUAGCCUCAAAACAUCUGCAUACCUGCACAGCUGAAAGGUCAGAACCAUGCAACUAAAUGAUAUGCAGCUCUCCUGCGUGUUUAAGAAAAAAGAACUGUGCAACUAAACAACAGCUCAGAGAAGAAAACAAUCAGCUACUAAAGAAGACAGAUUCUCUUGCCUUAUCAUCAUUGAAUUCGUACCAAUCAUCUACAGAUGACCGGAUAUAACAAACAUAGUGACCCCUGCCAUAUAUGCCAUGGUGUACUACAACUCCAUAUAGAUCAUAUUUUUGGGGUGUCUGCAACAAAACAGCAAUACAUGAGCCAAAUGGUUGGGACUAAAAUCAAACUACAAGAAUCUGGAACUCACAUCAUCCGAGGAGCUCAUGAAGGAGUUUAUAUCCAGCUCUAACGGGUACUUGACCUUGUCCCAAAUCUUACCCCUAGAAUUAGUGAACCUCUUCAGAUGGAUUACAAGAACUUCAGGUGCCUGCUCUACCUUGAAGUGCUUUUCCAUGUUCACACGAGAAUUGCAUCCAUCACACAUGAAGUCUUCAAUCAACUCAACUUUUGUAAAAGAAUGCAAUGCAUCCAUCAGACUCUCCACCAUGGUAACCUCCAAGCUAAGAUCAAUAAAAGGCUCAGAUUUAUCCGAGCAACGUUUGCACUCUGGGCAUCGCAGCUGAGUAAAAAAGCAAAAAAGGGAAAUAAGUAACAGUAAGGCAUUAGAGAUCAUCGGGAUUCAAGUGGCAAAGUUAAGUUUACAAGUCUUUGCCUGGCUUUUUAGGCGGCCUCCAAAUAUUUGUUUUGCAAUGCCCCCUUCUUCAGUUGAAGAGGGUUCCUCUGACGACCUGGGAGAGACAUAUGCCUCAUCCAAUUUUUCAAGCAAGUCGAAAAAGAACUCCUGCGCAUCUUGCUGUACUCCACUCUCAAAAUUUGAUGAAAUUGCUACAGAUAACAUGUGAAGAAUUAGGUUCAGUGCAAACUAUCAUUAUCCUGUUAAAGUAUUAUUGAGUCAUGCAUUUCAAGUAGUUCUAGAUGCCUCAAAUUUCUAAUAACAAGAGUACCAGUUCGGCUGCACAUAAUACCACAGCUACUUCAAAAUAGAAGUUUGGUGGAACAAACAUACAUUUCAGGUGAUUUACAAAUCUCUCAGGGUAGAAUGCACUUCCAGAAAGUCUGAUAGAUUCAUCAGCAUGCAGUUUCAGGGAGCAGAAACAGCAGAAUCCGAUAGAAGCACCUAUGGAAUCCCAAUUAAAAUCACAAAAGCAGGUAAGAAUGGAGAGAAGAUGAUGCGGAACAAUGUCAUACUGAUUGAACUAGAUUCCUUACGAGGACACGGAUCUGGGUGAUCAGCUUUCCGAAGCUUCAACACAAGAGGAACGGUGUGAACCAUACAUUGGAGGAUGCAAUUAAGAAAACAUGUCCACAAACGAGGAUUGAAUAGCCCAGCACCCUGUGCAAGCAACACAAAUCGGUAUAGAAACUUGAACUUGAUUUCAAGAGGUAUAGCUGCAUUACGCAUCAAACAGCAGCAUAAAUCUAGCUUACCACAUUGUAUCUUUUCUUCCCACAAUCUGGCUUUGGAGAGGACCAAUGACUCAGAUGUCCAGUAUUAGCAGAAGUCUACGAUUAAAAACAAAAGCAGAAGAUGUCAAAAAUCUGAUAUUUAAAAGGGAAAGAAAAAACUAGGACAUCAAAGGAUCACAAGUAUAAACAGUGAAAUUUGCAAUGCCUAUCAAACUGAUUCAGUCAUGACUUCAAGAGCACCCAAAAAAAAAAGACAAGCAUGAAAGUGCAACAAGUCUAGGUUACUGCAUGGUAUCUUUUCUUUAC